rnacentral:lncRNA from 1 species
AGUUUUAGAUUAUGUUCAACAUUUAACAAUUUACAUAUAUACAUUCAACGCCCACAUGACUAAGAAGUAAAAGAGAAUAACAAAUAGCUAGCUCAACAAGCACAUGGACACUAGGACACAUGCUAGCCAGCACAAGAACAAACAUCGCUAGCAACCAGAUCCUCAAACCCAUAAGAAUAUAAGGUUCAUAUUAGAAUAUAAUAACUUAAUAUACAUCUAUGUUCUAGUAUUUUAUAUGUAUGCUUUUAUGCCAAUGAUGGAACUUAGGUUUAUUACAGUCACUUUUCUUAUCACUGAUGAAUUGUUCGGAAGUUGGUGAAAAUUUGUUUAUGCGGAUUCAAUGGAUCUUGUAAGUUGUAAUCGUUUGUUAUGAUCCUCUAUAUCCAAACAACUGUCCAAACAAUAAUUGAAUCUACUUGACACCUUGAACCCGAAACAGCCACUGAACUAUUAAAUCAGUCCACUGAACCAAACCGGUUAACUAUCAAUUUUCCAAUUUUGCUGAGAAACUAGAUAUAAUUACUCGUACUUACUAUAAUCGGAUCAAUUCAUAUAUUUCCUAAUUUAGGAGUCAUUAAUGUCCUUCACCCAAACGAUCAAGUCAGCAAAUCAACCGUAUCUUAGCCGCCCCACUCAACCCAAAUAAAAACAUGAAAACAUUUAUUUCAGUUUUUGAAAGACACGUUAUGAAUGAAUAUAUUCAAGUUACUUUUUUUCAGCUCAUUUCAAGUUACUUAAUAUAGGAAAAAAACAUUAAAGACAAUCACAAUCUUACAGGAUCGUAAUUUCCGGUUUGACACUUGCACAAUAAUAUAUACUCCAAAAGUUAAACUAGCUAACCAUAUUUAAAUUUCUAAACCAGAACAUCAAUUUGUUUCGGUUAAAACUAUUUUUCGACCCUUACGAGAAGUCCAAAAUCCGGAAAAUAUAGAAAACCGGAUAAAAAUAACAAACCGGGCCAGAUCUAAGAUCCAGAUCGAAUCUCAUGUGUUUUGUCUAAUCUCAGGCUGUCACAAAUUUUGGCGGACCCCAACCAAUUAUCAUAAAUAGUCUCCACCCAAUAAUAAUAAUGAAAGAAAAAAGAAAAGAAAAGAAAAGAAAAGAAGAUCUCAUUUCUCCCUCCAUCUCCCUUCCUCCGCCGAAGAAGAAGAAGAAGAAGACGAUCGUAAGGAUUAAGGUUUCUUCUGGGAAGCGAAGAAGAUGAGGGAGAUCAUUAGCAUUCAUAUCGGUCAAGCUGGGAUCCAAGUCGGAAACUCCUGCUGGGAGCUUUACUGCCUCGAACAUGGCAUCCAGCCCGAUGGCAUGAUGCCCAGGUAAUAUUAUAUAACCUAAUCUUCAAUAAAUCGCUAGGCCGUAAUUAGACGUUAUAUAGAAGAUUAACGAGAGCUAGGCGCUUUCUAAACACCUACUUUUAGAACAACUGUUUUAGUAAUUAAACUUUACAUUUUACCAAAAAAAAUAAAAUAAUAACUGAACCUUUUUUAUAAUAAUUGAACUUUGCAUAAGCGAAACUAGGCGCUGUUACACGAUUCUGAGAACAAUUGUUUUGUUAAUUAGACUAAAAACUGUUGGGUCAAAAUCGGUAACUAAGAAAUUGAUGUCGGAAAGUUAUCGAAAAUAAAAAAAAUAAAAAUACGGAAAACUAAAACUUCAUAUUUUUAAAAGUAUUGCGCAAUUUAAUUAGCGCCUAAGCAAGCAUUAGUUACUGCUUACACUAAUUUUUUAGAAAAAUGUAGAAAAUCAUUAUAUUGGCGUUUGAGCACAGCCUAAACCGAUUUUUAUAACCUUUUUAGUCGAGGUUUGAGAGAUGAAUCUAAUAGCAUGUUCCUUUACAGUGAUACUACGGUUGGUGUAGCACACGAUGCGUUCAACACGUUCUUCAGCGAGACUGGCGCUGGAAAGCAUGUCCCUAGAGCUAUCUUCGUUGAUCUCGAGCCUACCGUUAUUGACGAGGUACGUACCGGAACGUACCGUCAGCUUUUCCAUCCAGAGCAGCUUAUCUCUGGUAAAGAAGACGCUGCUAACAACUUCGCCAGAGGCCAUUACACUGGUGAGAAAGAGGAAUUUUUUUUUUCUGUGUUGUUCUAAUUUUCUUGGAAUUUUGCAAAAUGGUCCUUUAAUAUUUUGUGUAAUUGCAGUUGGGAAGGAGAUUGUGGACUUGUGUCUUGACCGUGUGAGGAAGCUUGCGGACAACUGUACUGGCUUGCAAGGUUUUUUGGUGUUUAAUGCUGUUGGUGGCGGAACUGGUUCAGGCUUGGGGUCUCUGUUGCUUGAACGUUUGUCUGUAGAUUAUGGAAAGAAGUCUAAACUUGGAUUCACCAUUUACCCUUCUCCUCAGGUACUUAAACUAAUUAGUAAUUAUAUUUGAACGGUUCUUUAAUUUGGUUUUGAUGCAUAUUGCCUUUUUGAUCUUCAGGUCUCUACUGCUGUUGUUGAGCCUUACAACAGUGUUCUCUCAACUCAUUCCCUGCUUGAACACACCGAUGUUGCUGUCCUCUUGGAUAACGAAGCCAUCUAUGAUAUUUGCCGGAGAUCACUAGAUAUCGAGAGGCCAACCUACACGAACCUGAACAGGUUGAUAUCUCAGAUCAUAUCGUCCCUCACAACAUCGCUGAGGUUUGAUGGAGCUAUCAAUGUGGAUAUCACUGAGUUCCAGACCAACCUUGUUCCCUAUCCUCGUAUCCAUUUCAUGCUGUCUUCUUAUGCUCCGGUCAUCUCAGCUGCAAAGGCUUACCAUGAGCAGCUAUCAGUCCCUGAGAUCACUAAUGCUGUGUUUGAGCCAGCUAGCAUGAUGGCUAAGUGUGACCCGAGGCAUGGGAAAUACAUGGCGUGUUGUUUGAUGUACCGUGGAGAUGUUGUUCCUAAAGAUGUUAAUGCUGCUGUUGGUACUAUUAAGACAAAGAGGACUGUUCAGUUUGUUGACUGGUAUGAUCUACAAACUGGAACUAGUUGCUAUUGCUUUCCUUAGCUUCAUGUAAACACAAUUGCUUUGGUUUUGUUUUGUAGGUGCCCAACAGGGUUCAAGUGUGGAAUCAACUACCAACCUCCAACGGUUGUUCCUGGAGGUGACCUCGCUAAGGUCCAGAGAGCAGUGUGCAUGAUCAGCAACAACACAGCAGUUGCAGAGGUGUUCUCAAGGAUCGACCACAAGUUUGAUCUGAUGUAUGCCAAGAGGGCGUUUGUGCACUGGUACGUCGGUGAAGGAAUGGAGGAAGGUGAGUUCUCUGAGGCACGUGAGGACUUGGCCGCACUGGAGAAAGAUUAUGAGGAAGUGGGUGCUGAAGGUGGAGACGAUGAAGAAGAUGAAGGUGAAGACUACUGACACUUUCUUCUCUGAAUGAUGUGCAACCAAAAAGUUUUUUUCAAAAUUUAUGUUUCUACUUGUGAUUCUUGUUGAUUACAUGUUUCUUUUUUUUUUAAUCCUGUACAAUUUACGUUGCACAUUCUCCACCGUCUUGUGUUUAUUUUGGUUCAGUUCAUUGGUAAAGUGACCUUUGAGUGUUCCAGAGUUCAUUAUCAAUCUUUGUCAUCUUCUUAAUCGUCCAUUUUUUUCUUUAGUUACAAUAGGACUCUGUAGAGAUGUGUUCUACUUUUACAUUCAUGGGUCCACACUUGCAUGAAUUGAAAAGAGAAUGUUAGAUGUGAUCAUGUAGGGCAGAAGAGCUGAGAGAGUGAAGGGAGAUCCCAAAUGGGAUCGGUCGGAUCGAAUAUUGGAUACUCUGAAUGCAUGUUGUCGUAGUAAGUGGUAGCUCCAUUCAUUGCAUAUAGAGAUGCAGAUAUCUGUCUUUCGAUGUCAGCUAGACCAGAAUGUUGAUCGGUUGUGUUAUGAUCGUUGAGAUGUCCAUGUGCUUCUUCCACUCUGUAAUUAGCCAAAGGAACCUGAUGGUUGAGUUCAGAGACAAGUGGCCAAGAGUAAGGAAGCUGGACACUGUCGGCUUCUGGUUGUAAUAUGGCUGAUAAAUCAGGGCGGUACACGUUAUUGAGCGGCAUCAGUGUGGUAGUGGUGUUGGCGGUGGGACAAGUAGCAGGCGAAGUGUAAUUGAUGUUGUGUUCUACAAAAGAAGAGGCUGGUUUGUUUUGUUGUUGUUGUUGUUGAUGUUUCAGGCUCUGCUUCUGGUGAAGGAGGUUUCUGAUCUUCAAAGACAGUUGUGAGUUGUUUGGGAAAUGGUUUGCGAAAUUGGUGCGAGUGUUGGAGCCACGUAGGAGACAGGCAGCUUCGUCGUAGGCUCGAGCAGCUUCUUCUGCGGUCUCAAAGGUUCCGAGCCACAUACGUAUCUUUUGAGUGGUGUCUUUGAUCUCUGCCACCCAUUUCCCUGAAGGCCUUUGUCUGACACCAACGAACUUGGUCUUAUUGGUGCCUUUGCUCUUCCUCUUUAUUUUCUGCUUUUGAGUUGUUUGAUGAUGCUCCAUUUUUUCGGUAUGGUUGUUGUCCAUAGACGGAGAUAUAUAAGUAUUAAUAGGUUUAUAUGUUCUCGUAUGUUUCGAGGUAAGUGUUAGUGGGUGCCUCGUCUUCCCGAAGACUACUAGUUCUGUUAUUUUAAUGAUGCUACGAAUACAAUUUUAUAAUGAUAUAGUAGAAUGACUCCCGAGUUUUCUGUUGUGUGGGUUCCAUGUAUUAAUUACGUGCGCACCAUUUGCUAACUUCUUAAUAUAAACAAAGCACUAAACCACCAUGUUGUCGUAACCUCUAUUUAAACUUUUGAUUAAAGAAUUGACAGUAAUCUUUUUGUUUAAAUAAUAUUGCAGGGUUAAAUGUAGAUGUAGUUAUUUAGUACGAAUAAUUUCUCGAAAUAAUAAAUUAUAGUCUUAAUUUAGAGAGGAAGAAAAAAAGAGCUAAUCAAAAGAUCACAAAUCAACAACAGCAAUAUGUGUAAAGAAUGAUUUACUUCAAAAUUCUCACUUUAAUACAAAAAAAAAAGAAGAAAAACUUCAUCUUUCUCCCAAACAUAAAGCCAACAUCGAACCUGUCUUUUCAGGGAGUCACAACCCAACCAAAUUCCCAACUGACGCUUACCAAUUUCACAAACUUUCCUUCCCUUCUAAUAUACACUUUCCUACCAUAGCGAUAGAAAUUUCAUUUCAUAACUUAUGAAGGACUAGACCCAUUCUUCAUCCCUCCCAACAACAAAUGGUGAAUAAUGCAAACCCAAAAAUAAUGUAAACACAUGAAUGCAAAACUGACGACGCUUUGUGGUGGAAAAAUAAAGCUCACAAGACACUGUAAAUGAACAGAUUGGUGUGCGUUUAGGAUGAAAGCAUGGAUUGGAGAGCGUGUUGCUGUUCGGGUUUCAGUGUUGACCAUAUUGAGCCCAAUGCCGAUGGCGGCAGUGUUUGCUGAAGUUGCCUUAGUAUAUUAACCAUACGACCUGCCGUCUCUUGUGUCACCACAUCUUUCCCUGUAAGCACCUGGCCAGCCAUGAUUUACACACACAUUGAUACUUUUUAUCAGUUCAACAAUGCAAAAAUCAAAAAUGUUGUCUAUGAGAAGCGUAAUUAACAAACAAACCUCAGCGAAAACUGUUAUAAUUUUAGGAAGAUACUGGUUAUUGGGGCCUAAAAGGUCCACAUCUUGCCUGCAAGUUUAACAUCAAUCAGCCGUUUUAGACAGUCGGUCACAAGGAAUGCAAAAAAAAAAUAGCUAGCGCCCAGUAAAAAUUAAAAUCUAAACACAUUGGUUACCUCUCAACCAUUGAACAGAGCUGAUCAUGAACCACUUUGGCUUCAAUAACAUCAUUACUUAAAGGCAAACAGUUCAACCACGCAGGAAGUACCUAAGAAACCCAAAAACAAAGUAAAACUUAAAGAUCAACAAAAGUAACCCACAUGUAUUCGUGCAAAGCAACCAGAUGGCGAUAACUAUCUUAAGCUAUACCUGAGAAGAAUCGAUACUGUCACGGUGAAAUAGGCAGAUCUUUCCCACAGCGGAUACAGCAUUGUCAUAUGCCAUGGCAUUUUCAGAUUGCCGAGCAUUUGGCUGCUGUAUCACAACAUUUAAUCUUGACAGAGCCUCUGUUGAAACAAAAACAUGUGUUACUACUUAUCUGUAAAGCAUGGAUUAAACAACCCCUAAAGACCUACAACUGGGCAAAAGGUAUACUUUACCUCCAACAAGAGGCUUGAAUACAGAUCCGCCAAACUCAGCACACACACCAAGCCCAUAAACGGCAGCCUGAAACAAACAAGAGGUCAUAUCAAUUAGUAUACAGAUUCAGAAACACCAGAUAACAAAAUGUAGGAUAUACCUGUCGAACUUCUGGGCUCUCGUCAUUGCAAGCUUCCAGUACGAAUGGAAGAUAAGUAUCGUAAUAUCUGCCAAACAAAUAUCCGAAAAAGUACAUAAGAACACUGACUACUGAAAAUGCGCAGUGUACAAAGAUUCAGUGAAUGCAUAUCCUUUACUUGAAGGCAGCAUCACGGCAUUGCUCUGCAACAUCAUCAAAAAUGCAUAUCGCAAUCCUUCUCUCUUCAGCGGUUUUAUCCCUUCCCUGAACUCAACAAAAACACACAUCUAUAUCAAAACAGAAAACCAAGGCAGACUAGAACUAAUAUUGCAUCAGCGCCAUCCCCAAAGCCACAUAUUUAGAAACUCUAUUCACCCGAACCAGAGUGCUAAAGCUCCACUUGGUAUCACAGAACCGAAAAAUAAGAUUUGAGUGAUGACGGUAACUUACCCACAUAGGAGUUAAGUAAGAGGAUAACUCAUCGAAGAAAGGGAGAAACGAGGCCUUGAAUGUCUUAACCAGUGUUCCCAAUAUUUCACCGACCUAUGUGCAGACAAUAUAUCAAGUAUGAAUACGAGCGUUGAAGAUAGCAAACUUCAUUACACUUGCAUUUGACAAUGGUUAAUCACAGAAAGCUAACCUGAUCAAAAAUUUCUUCCUCUUGCUCAUUUUCCUCUUUAAUAAGCUCCCCCUCUUCAGCGUCAAAGUCUUCAGCAUUAGCUCUCUCUCCCCUCUCUCGCUUCCUGCUAGAGCUUGCUGUCAUAACUUGCUUUACCUCGUCAACUAUGGAUCUAAUUUUCCCUUCGUCCAAUAGAUUUCCGGAGAUCUGAAAUACAUUGACAGGUUAUAGGUGCCAUUUCUCCAACGCAAUGCUACGAUUUACUCUACGAGAUACAUAAAAAAAGAUUUGCUCAAAGCUCUCUAUCUCAUACCCUAAACCUAAACAAAGCUUGAAAAUAAGGCCAGCUGUCAAGGCAACAUAACUCUUCAUUCUCGAUACUCUAUGCUCAGAAGGAUUAAACAAGUAAUAAAGUAAGGGGAAACACACGAUCAUUGGUCUACAGGCUUCCCAAUACAAGCAAUCACAUAGAUGGCCAUUAUUAGCUAAACCAUUUAGCCUACCAAAGAGAGUGCAGUAUUGUCAAAUGGAAAUGUUGGAGUGACUUGACGCGGCCAAUUUAUAAUAGGAUUGUUUAACAUAAAUUCUUAUUCUAUUGAAAGGUUACCUGCAAGCAUUCAUUGAUAGCUUCCAACAUACUCACACAGAUCUCUGUAUCAGGUUCCUACAUAAAAUCCAAUCAUCAUAUAUUGGAUCAAAGCCGGAAGGGAAAAUAGAAAGAAAAAAUGAACACAAUACACACUUACUUUAUGCAACGCUUCUAGCAUGUUUGGAAUUAUAUAGUCAGAAAGCUGCUUUAAAUAGGAUAGAUCGCGCCCUUGAGCUUCUCCUUUCUCUAUCGCCAGCUUAGCUGAGCGCAUUAGUUCCGGCAUGGCUAGAAAAGAAAAAAUAUCCAAUUUAGAAACUUGUCAUUUAUGGAUCCACAGAUUGGAUUAUGGACAAUAUAUUUACUGAUGUACCUGACACAGCUGCUCUUCUAACUUCUUCGUGAAAAUAGAAUUUCAGCAAAGGAACCAGUGUAAGUGCAACCUACAAUAUACUAAUUCAGUCUAUCCAGUCCCAAAAACAGCAGAGGAUAGUGACAAAAAUAUAGAGCCGACCAACCAUACAAACCUGAUCAAUCCAGGGAAAAAACCCUUCUUUUAACUCAUCAGCAUAGCAACAAAGCAUGUUACAAGCUGUGGCUUUUUCUUCUAGGACACUUGUUUUGAUUCCUAUUCGUUUGUCUCCCAGGAUAAUGGUCUCCAUGCUGCAUAAACAAAUCGAAUUGGUACAAAUCUACCACGUCAAAUCCAUACGUAAAUUACAUUUAUCACAUAUUAUCGCAACCUUAGGUAAGAGUAAAAAAUGGAACAACAAAACUAUUUUGACAAGAAAUAGACGGAAAUUAUUUGUUAUAUAAAACAAUUAAAACAUGCUAUGUCACAAAGGAACAGAAUCUCAGAAUAAUAAAUAUCUCAUGGCAAAAAAUAAGAAACAAUUCAGCGGAAGCUGCAGCUGCAGCUUCAACAACAUACAGAGAUUACUCAUGCCAUUUUUAAAAAGAUUGAAGUAGUUUUCAUGCAAAGGAAUACGAACUAAUAAAGCAGGUACAGAGGCAUCAGAACAAUCAGAUGAAGUGUAAAGAAUAGUAGAAAACCUUUCAUCAUCAGAAUCCUCUGCUUCAUUUUCUGAAUCAGCAGAUGUAAUUGUUACAUCUGGUUUAAGUUGAGCUGACUGAAGCAAAGGAGGCAUCACAACAUCCAUGUAUGGGAGAAAAUCUUGGCCUAGACACUUGCAAAGCCUAGCCCAUGCCUAAGAAAAUGUAAGGUAAAUAUAAGAAAGUGAAUUUACAUAUAUAAGUUUACAAAUGACAUAUCGGCCAAGUGGCCUAGCAUGUUUUAAACAGAAUUUACCUGUAACAUAUAGCUCGUUAUUGGAUCAUCUGCCUCCAUUUCAGUCCCUUGCAAUGACAUAAGAACUUCCAUGACCUGGAAUAGACAUGAAAAAUAUUUUCAUUCGACAGAUGAAAAUCAAAUAGAAAGCUUGAGAUAGUCAUCUGUAGCACAAAAAUAAGAUUACAACAUAUAGCAUCAAUUUUGAAAAUAAUUGACUCAUGCAUUAAGCACACCUGUCUAGCAUCCUCCUUAAAUUUGUCCUUUCCAACUGCCAUUCCAACAAGACUGAUGCAUUCCAUGGAUUUGGCACGAAGCAUCCGCUUAGACUUGUCAGUUGCGUUCAUCAAGAUAGUUUUGAGGUAAGGCAUGACAACAUCAUAGUACUUUUGGAAGUGUUCCUGCAAAUUCAGAGUAUGUCAGAUCAAGAGUUGCAUGCAAGGAAAACAAUAGAUGUAACAUAACUUCUUCACAUAUACCUGUGAUGAAUCAGCAACUGAAGCAAGAGCUGUUAAAGCUCCUUCUUGCACCAUUUGUUUUCCAUUCUGUCAGAAACAGCGUUAUAAACCAAAGUUAAUAAUAGAGGGCACUCUUUUUAGUUAGUUAUUUAAAGAAACAAAAUUGCACAAUACACUUACUUGUAGUAGCACCAGUAACUUGCUCACUAUUCCAUCUAAAUAAGGUGCCAAUAUUUCAGGUGUACAAUUCUCACUGAAAUUUAGCACUGCUGAAGCAGCAUGAGCCUAAAUGAGGUCGCAAGAUACUGCUUUAGAAAGCGUCAGAAGAUUAUAUUAACAAAUAUACAGUUAACGGAAAACUAACCUGCACUCGUGGAUUCUGGAGAUCAUCCAUAGCAGCAGCAAGCGCAGGGAGCACUCUCUGAUGAUGUUGGUUUUGCAAAUCAGGACCCAAAUCUGUAGACAAUUGUCCAAUGGCAUUUAUGGCUGCCCACCUUACGCGAGGAUGAGGACUUUGAAAUUGGCUCAAAACCAUGGACACCACUUGCUGUAGAUUUUUUAUCAUCACCUACAUUAUAUUCAAGAUCAAAAUGUAAAUCCUUUGCAAGUCCUCGCCAAAUAAAUCAUGAAAGAAACAAUCACGAUUUAAUAUCCAACUAAAAGCAAAAGCAACAAACCAUACAGUUGCCAUCACAAAGAAAUUACCUUUGAGCAACCUUCAGCAAUCUGAGCAAGCGCAAUCAAAGAAGCGUGGUGCUUCUGCCACUCAGAGGCAACCAAGUAAGCAGAAAACUGCUGAUACGCAACCGGAACAAUGGUGUUCCCUCCCAAGGCAAUUGCUAACCGAUCCAAACACUCUUGACCCAUGCUGUAGUUACUCGUCUCACCAGCAUCCUCGUCCUCAGUCUCAGCACUAUACCAAGCAGGAUCGUCCUCAACAUCCUCAAGCAUCUUCAUAAGAACCGCAAACAACCUGUCAAUAAACUGAGGUAGCUUCCUAACCAUCCCAGGGGCACGCUCACGCGCCUCAGCCAAAGUUACCAAAAACUCAACCGCGAGAUGUCGCGUGCUCUCCUCGAGGGACUCAGCCUCUGCGAUCUGAAGCAUCGAGCCAACUAUAUCAAGAAGCUGCCGUCUAAGGAACCGUGGCUCAGUCCCAGCCAAUUCGAUCAAAAGCUCUAGCGCCUCCUGAGCCGUUGCUUCGUUCCCGUUAUUAAGAGACUCAGUCAACGUCCUAAUCAUCGCAGGUAAAACGUCUUGGAACCUAUCACGCUCAUUAGAGUUCGAUAAACACUGAACGAAACUAAUCACCGCGUUGAGAGCGGCGAUUUUGACGUCUGAGCUAGCUGAUUCGCUAGUCAAGCACUGGAGAAACACGCCGUGCAGAUGCUUGAUGUGAGGAGUCAAAGUCUCCCCAACGUACUGCGACAACUGCGCCACGAUCAGAAACGCCGAUUCCUGCAAUUUCGACGAAUCCGACGACACGCACUGGAAAACGAACGGAAGCAGCUCCGGCCAUCCGUUAUCCGGGAGGAUCCCCGAGGCGAGCUCGGAGACCGUAUCGCAAAUCUUCUUGGAGAUCGAUUUCGCCUCCUCGCGCUGGAUACAAGACAGCAUCGAGGAUUUGAGUGAGGAUUGAGUGGGGAGAGAGAGUCGCGGCCACAGGUAAGCGUCGUCGCGCGUGAGAAGCUUACGGAGGAGGACGGCGGCCAUGGCGCGAGCUUCGGGGUGAGGAGAGAGCUGGAGAAGGUGAGCGAGCUUCAAGGCGAGGGUGUCGGGACUGGUCUGCUUGGCGAGAUUGAAGAGAGCCUCGGCGGAGGAGCGUUGCUCGUUGGAAGAGGACAUGAGGUGGGAGAUGAGAGUCUCGAACGGCGCCGUAUCGGAGCCGAGGACCAUCGCGAGCUGCGCUUGUUGCUGAAGCUGAUCGGAAGCCAUGGUGGGCGGCGGCGGGAAAAAACUAGGGUUGAAAUGCUAUCUAUCUCUCUCCCCAGAUGAUGCGAGUCGAGAGAGAGGAGAGAAAGAGAGUAAGCGAGGACGAGAUGAGAUGAGAAUUUGUGAAGAGAUAAUUAUUUUUUUUGUUUUUAAUAUUCUAUUUCCAUUUUUUUUUAACUAUUCGUGAUAUGAGGUGGUGUCUGCUGUGGGCCGCGGGGUUAGCCCAUUAUUAAAUCUAAGGGAAAAAAUAGACAAUAAUAAUGUGAUCUCUUAGCGAAGCGAUUUUGCCACGUGUUCUCUCUAUAAUCAAUUUUUUAGACUAGAUUUGCAAAGUGAUUUUACCACAUGUCCUCUCUACAAUCAAUUUAAGAAAACAAAUAUGACAUAAUUACUGAAAUUGAUGACAUGACUUCUAAAAAUACAUGACAUGGAUAAUUUCAUUUAAUGUCCAUUUAUAUUUUUGGCAAACUUAUUAGAAUAUAGUAAUAAUUCAUAUAUUACAUUCAAUAUUGAUAUUUCUUUUUGAUAAACUUUUUGAGCGACAAUAGACCAUACUUUUUCCCCUCCAUUUUUUAAAACUUAUAAUUAAUAGAUUUUAUUUUCAAACUCAAUGUGCCAUAAUAGCCCAAUACACCAUCUUUGGGAACUUCUUUUCGAACUAUAAACUCUUAAAUUUGUUCAUGUAAAAGUACAAAAUAUGUUUAAAAAUCUAAUUUUAAUCUUUCAAAAGAAAUAAUUGUUUCCUUAAAAUGUUAAUUUUAUUUGUACUAAGAAGACUGAGGGCAAUCAUCUUAUUUCUCACAUGGGAAUAAAUAUAUUAGCGUUCUAUGUUUUUAUACGGUGAGCAAAAAUAUGAAAACUACAUACUUUGUGGCAAAGGUUUAUCAUUAAAAAAAAUUGGAAAUAACACUUGUCAUAAAAGUGUUUUUCCUAAGUUGUCAUAAAGGUUAGGUUAAAUUUAUUAAGAAAAAUAAGGAGGUUAUGAGAUUUACCAUUUCAUCUAUAUUUUGCCUUUUGAAAUUGUAAUUCCAGUUGGACUAAGAUUUUAGAUGUGAUUGGGUAGAAAAAGGAUCAAUGUAAUUAAGAAAAGUAAAGAAGGUAUAAGAUUUACCAUUUUUAUCUAUAUUUUGCUUUUUGAAACUUCAAUUCCGGUUGGACUACCGUUUUCGAUGUGAUUGGAUAGAAAAAAAAAUCAAUGUAAUUAAGAAAAGUGAGGAAGGUAUAAUAAUCUCUAAAUUUUCUUUUUGGUAGCUUCUUUCUCUUGCUCACAGUGCUAGUGAUACCGUGUAGAAGAAAAUAGAUAAAAAAACAUAUCAUUUACCAUAAAAACUAUGAAUUUUAAAAACUUAUUGUUAGAUAUUAACCCAAAGAAAUAUUUAAGAAAUUAAUAGCAAAUUAAAACAAAAGGAGACAAAAUAAGUUUAAAUGAUGCGCAUUGCAUAGAAUAGAAUAUGAAAGUCUCUGGACACAAAUACAAUAGGCAUGCAUUGUAUUUGAUGGGCUCUAGAUGAGCAUGCUUUAUUCACAUAAAACAAAAGUAGAUAUUAGGAAGAAUUAAAUAAAAUGAUUAUUCAGGUUUUCUUAAAUCCUUGAUGCAGCUCCUCGAGAUAAUUUAUUUACACCAACCUUCGCAAUUUUGUCGGGUCCCGGAGCAACCCUUAGUAGAGGGACAACAGAAGCAAGUCUUAUCUUUGGUUUUGAGUUUUGGGCAUAUUUUUUGCUCGCAUGUUCCUUUAGCUGCAUCGACAACUAUAUACACAAAAAAGUAACAGCAAUAUCAUUCGGAGGAAAAACAAUUAUCGAGGAUAUGAUGAUGGAAUUACAAUGGUGAAAAAGAUAGAUGAUGAACAAAUAAAAACUAUUAUAAAUGCAUACAUUCUUGAAGAGGAGAUAAAACAAUCAAAAUGAUGCAAAAUAUAGUGAACUGUGAUGACGACAUAUUGUUUAUGAUAUACACGUUUAUGAUUAAUUCUUUUGAAUUUAAACUUACUGGUUUGAUGGUUAAAAGCUCCUUUUAAGAUUGAUUAAUUUAUAGAUCGAAGUGUUGCUCGCCUUACAUGGCGAUCCAUAAAAAAUGGGUAGAUUUGUUUGACUUGUUUUGUGGUAAUUAUAUUGGUGUUUAUUUUUUUCCAUACUUAACUGUUUACGGAAACAGUCAAACUAUUGUAUGGUAAAGAAAAAUACAUAUGAAUUAUUAACUGAUUUUUUUAAAACACAAACUACUAAUUAUUUAUAAUCAACUAAUUCUUAAUAUAUAUAUAUAUAUUAAAGAAUUUACUAAAUGUAUCCAUGAGUAAUGCUAAGUAGAUUACCACGGCGUUGCAACUGCCCUUCUUCUGUUCAUCCAUGGCUGUUUUUGGGAUUGGGCAAUCCCGGGGACAAAUACAAAGGGACUAGACACAAUGUAUCCAGAACAUGUUUUUAAGUGAUAAAUGUAUUCAAACAACUUGGAUCUGCUUCUUGUGUUGAAUCUCAAAUAUAAUAGUUGUCUGUUCUUGUUUGACUACAGAUUGGGUUCGAGAUGAUUGGUUUUUUUUGCUGAGUCAGCUGGGAUUCAAAUGAACCUAGUAAACAUUUUUACAGCCAUCAGCAAACGUCAAACGCUAACACCGUAACCCAUCUGUAAACGGUUAAAAGUGAACCAAUUAAUAAGCUUUUGGAUAAGUCGUAUGUAACCGCCAAACGCAAACGCCAAAAGCUCUUAGAUAAUAAUAAAAACAUGGUUUUGAGUUUUGACGGAUCACCAGCGUCGAUAGGGAUGAAUAUGUCGACGGGAUGUGAGUUUCCGACGAUUCAAACCUUCGAGAGAGCUCCUUCCGCCGCAGACUUCGAGUCCGGCGGCGAGCUCACGAACUUCCCUGCGGUACUUUUUUCACCUCAAUACACUUUUCUCUUUCUUCCUCCUCCUGCUGAAUCCGAGUCUCUUGAUCUUAAUCUUCUGAAGGUUUUCCGAGGAUGUGCUAGUGACUGGGAGGCAUGUUCUAAGUGGAAUCCAUUCAGCAAUGGCCUCGAUUAUCUCGAGGUGUGUGUGUUUUUCUUUUACAAUCACUCGAUUGAUUAUCGAAGAUUGCAGCAAAAUCUUAUGCGUCGAUUGGAAUUGUAUGAAGGAGCGUGCAGGUUCAGUUGAGGUGGAGGCAAUGCUUUCGAGGACGGCUCCGCUAUUCAAUGGUGAUAUCAGAAGCCAUGAGAGGGUAAGUAAAACUCCAUUUCGAUAUAGAUGUGAACAGGUUUCAGCUGAUUUGAGGCUAUAAUUAGUUGUCUCUGGUUUCUUGUUUGUCCUGUAGGUAUCAAUGCCUUUCUCUGAUUUCAUUAGACUCUGCAAGCAGCAUAUGAUAAGCAAAGAGAAAGGUUCUGGUGUUGAUGCAAAGUCUGCUUCUCUAACUCCUCCUUUGCCUCAGGAUCCUACUACACCUGGACAAAUAUACCUAGCACAGGUUAGUGUUGAUUUGGGUGGUCUAUGAAUAUGUUUGCUCUUCGCUUCCUUUUUGAUUGAACAACAUGCACAUGUAUGUGUUUUUUUUGUGUCCAGUUUCCAAUUCUGAAUGAUGAGAAAGAAGAGAAGGUUCAGCUCAAGAUUCUAAGACAAGACCUUCAGACGGUAUGUUUCAUCUCUUGUUUUGUACUGCAGCUGCUGACAUGAACUUUCUUAACAUCUAAUCGCUAAAUUGUAUGGAUGCAGCCUUCACUCUUAGGGAGCAAGUCACUGUCUUCUAUAAACUUUUGGAUGAACUCUGCACAAGCUCGAUCAAGUACCCACUAUGAUCCACAUCAUAACCUCUUAUGCGUAGUAUCAGGCUGUAAAAAAGGUUAGCCAAUUCCUUUCCUUCGAGUUAUUAUUUUCUCUUUCUCAAGGAAUCAAAUUGGUAAUGUAUGGUCCAGGUAUAAAUGAAAUUACUUCACUGACAUUUAGGGCAUGUGGUUUUAUAAAAUGUUAAGUCAGCUAGUUUGAAGUCAGUUUAAGUUUCAUCCUAAACUACUGGUAGAUUCAUUGAUCUAACAGUAUAUGUUGUAUGUUUUCUUACAUCUAAAUCAAUUUCAACCUUCAAAUCAUCAACAGUUGUCUUGUGGCCCCCUUCCGCCAGUCCCUCGCUCUAUCCGAUGCCUAUAUAUGGAGAAGCCUCAAACCAUAGGUAUCAUCUUGGCCUUUCCGUACAUAGUUUUGUAGUUAUAUCCUAAGCACACUCUGCGUGCAGCAGUUGCAGACUUAUCAAUGAUUUUUAUGCCAGUGUCUAUUUUACUAGAGUUUUCAUUGCAUAUUAUGUUUCCUGUUCAUGUAGUUCGGUCGGUCUAGACAAUCCAAAUUUAUCUGAUUAUCCAAGAGCAGAGCUUUCCCUCCAAUUUUCACAGGAAGUUACUCUUAACGCUGGUGAUGCAGUAUUCAUUCCGGAAGGUUGGUGAGUACACUCAUUUUUUUCUCAGAAAAGCUCUCCUAGUAGCACAUAGCUUUGUGUUUCAGAAUUAGCUGAAAUUGCUAAAAUAUCUUCUAAGAGAUCCUGCAUCAAAUGAGUCAAAGUGGUUUUCCUAAUUACUUGAAGCUACCAUGACUCUGUUACGUAGUUUUUUUCUGGCCGAGCCGCUAGUCUGUAUAUUUAAUAACUCCAGUAACGUAUGCAAAAGAAAUCUUUAAAGUGUCUCCGCCGGAAUUGGCUUUUUUUAGUCUGUGGCUGUGUAAUCGCUCAUGUUAUGUAGUAUUCAUAUGCCUGGAGCCUCUGACCCAGAUGUUUAUUCACAUGAGUCCUUGAGGUUUUAAUUCUGGACACAAACAAAGAUGCUUGAAAUGUAUUUUUGUUAGCUAGCUUACUUUCAUUCUAGUGAAAAUGACACUUAUUUGGUUAGGAGAAGUACCUUGUAAUAUAAUUGUAAGUAUUGAAGAUUUAAGAAUUUACUAAGCCUCAUAGUUUGAUGUGAGAACAUUCAGUAGAAGAUUAAUGGAUUAUUUCAUAAGUAUCAUCUUACUUCAUGCAGGUUUCAUCAGGUGGAUAGUGAUGAGCUGACUAUUGCUGUCAACUUUUGGUGGCAAUCAAACAUUAUGUCUAACAUGCCGGAACAUAUGGAUUCAUAUUAUCUGCGCCGGAUUACAAGAAGGUUUGAUUAUAAAUCUUGAAUUCUUAUAAAUAAUAUCUUUUUGCGUUACCGUUUUGUUUUGUGUCCUAACUUGUAUUCUUUUUUCUUUCCAUGUGCCUGCAUCUUGUGUCAUAUAAUUAGAUUGAUAGACAGAGAAAUGGUGUGUAAGUUAUUCUGUCUCAUCAAUAAAUAUUGUUGGAAGUUAUGAUAGUUUCUUUACUCAUCCUGAUUUUGAGUUUAAAAUGUAGGUUCGUCUACUCUCCUUUACUUGCCUUUACCAAGUUUACUACUCUCUAUUUACUGUGCCACUUGGAUAUUGACAGAGCCUGUUAGUUUCGAAGCCUUCUUCAACUCUUUUGAAGCAACCGUCUGAGCAUCUUGACCAAUGCAAAAUUGGACAGACAGGUAAUAAGACGCUGAUGUGUAAAUCCUAAGAAAGCCUUCAAUGGCUUGCCUGACUUUUCCGGUGAUGAAAUCAUUUCAGAAGGUGGGGAUGGUAACUCAAGCAAUCAAAGCAUUGAAAAAGGCAUCAGCACGUUACGUGAGAAAACACCGCUGCAUGAUCUAGAUCCUUCUGCUUCCCACGCACUUCAUGACCUUAUUUCCUUAGUCCAUGACCACGUUAAUGCUGUUGGUACAAGUAGGGAACUGCAGCACACAUCACCCAGUUCUUCAGACAUAGCUCCAGAGAGGGACAGUAGCAAGAUCCUGGUGAAUGCAUUGUCUUCUCUAGAAGAUGAUCGUGUUGCGCAUAUGCUUUGGAAUCUAGAAGCAUCUAAACUUCGGGAUGUUCUCCUUGCAAUGGCAGUAAGUUUAAAACAAGUGCUUCUAGCGCACUUCAUCAUUUUGGUCGAAAUGGAUAACCUUUUUUUGUUUUACAUGGAGUUUAAGUUCUUUGAACUAACGUACUCGUAUCAUGUAACUCACUUCAGCGUUAUUUCCCAAGAACCUUAGAAGCGUUAAUAAUCCACAUGCUCUCACCUGUUGCUGCGGAAGUGCUAACACAGAAGUUUGAUGAGAUUGACCAACAGAGUGGUGAAGAAGAUAGGUUUGUUCUGAAAGCAAAUCUUCUAGUGUUUUAUUUCCAUACUUUGAAACUUAAGAGUAAUGUGUUAUUUGACUUCCUUUUCCCCUUUUCCAAUUCCUAGGAGCCAGUUCUAUCGGGAAUUUUAUGGUGCCUUCGAUGAUGAAUCAGCUGCGAUGGAUAUAAUUUUAACUAGGAAAGAGACUUUUGCAUUUCAGGUAUGUUCCCCACUGUAUCGAGUGUGAACCAUAGUAAAAUCAAAGGAGAGAACUUUUUUGUAUAUCAGACUUAGUUGAUGCAGAAAAGACUUAUCAUCAAAUUCUAUAAAUUUUUGUUAUACAGGCCUUUAAGAAUGUACUAGACAAGUAUUUGGGGGUCCACAUUACUUCACCAACAACAAACCUAUGAAGCAUGUCUCGGCAUCGUGUACUGGCGAGAUACAUGUGAUCGGACAAGAGAGAACAUGUUGCUAUUGAUAUAGUAAAGGGUGAUAAUUGCUGUUCAUUUCCAAAGACUGAAUCUUAUUUGGAUAAUCUAUUAUCUUAAGCUUCUGCUAAAAAAAAGAGUCAUAACGAUACCUUUAAGCUAUAUAUAUGAAGAAUUUCGAACCUGAUGUAUGGUAUAAAAUAGUUAUAGAUCUUCAAACUUUUUAUGUCAAAUGGAAAUGAAUUAUGGAUCAAAAUAAAAAGAGUUGAUUACAUAUUAGAACACAUCUUGUUUUUAUUUUACAUAAAAAGACACAUCACAUGUGAACACUUUCUAGUGGGUCCAAAUAGUUAGUUUGACAAAAAUGCCCUUGAAGGAAAUGAGAUUGGGUUUCGUUCCGUUGGGGCUUGACUCAUUUUUGAAUUGACUUUACAGCUUGUAGAGUUUAUGUAGUUUUCUAAUUAUAUUAUUAUUAUUAUUUCAUCUAAUGUUUUUAUUGAUUUUUUCUCAAAUACUAAGAUAUACAAAACAAUUAUAAUUGUUACAAUAAAUUGUAAUUUUUUUUCUUUAUUUUAAAAUCUAUUUUCAUAUAUAUAUUUUAUAUAUAUUAAUAAUUAUAUAAAAAUGCAUGGAUAUAAAAGAUGUGGACGUAAAAAUGUGGUCAUGGAUGGGUUAAAUGAACAUGCACAGAAAGUUAUUUUUACAUUUUCUUUAACAAUUCACAUAUUUAUUAUUUGUUUCUAAUUUGAACCAAAAAAUAUUUUAUAGACAAAAGUUUUCAAUUAAGAUGUAGGUAAAUAUAGGUAAAUCAUUCAUCUAAGUUUUCUUUAGAAAAUGAAAAAUGUGGACUAGAUCGUGGACAUGGAAGAUGUGGAUGGAUAUAUGUGGACACGAGUUCAUGUGGAUACUAUUUUUCAUCAAUUCACCAAUUUUCUUGACUUAAAAAUAUCGACCAUCGCAGCCGCAACCACCACCAUUGAGUUCAUGUUCCAACUCGCUAAAGGUUUCAUCUUUUGAUCUGCUGUAGAUCGCUGGAGACUUACCCCGUGAACAUGUCCAAUCAAACACAACUAGUUCUCAAUCUCAGAGAAGACAACUCUGAGCUCUAAUAGAUCUGUGAAUCUUGUGGACUGAUGGUGACGAUAGAUCGUGGAGUGAUGGUGACGACGACCGCGGGUCGACUCGUUUUCUUUUUCAAUGUUUUGAGAUUGACGAGUAUCCUAUUUUUCUGAUGGAUUCCUUGUUUACGAGAAUAAGAGGAAGCGAUCUGUGAGCAUAACAUAUGGGUAAUUGGAGUUGGGUGCCUUGUAGGUUCUUAGCAAGUGAUUGAUCGUGUUUAUGUGAGUUGAUAUAAUGAAAUGUCCACAGUUUGUUGUCCACAUUUUUUAUGUCCACGCAUUUUUAUAUAAUUGUUAAAAUAUUUAAAUAUAUAUAUGAAAAUGGAUCUUGAAAUAUAGAGAAAAAGAAAUUACUAUUUAUUGUAAAAUUGUAUUUUCUUUAUAUAUUUUAAAACUUGAGGAAAAAAAAAUAAGGUAGAAGAAAGAAUGAAUAAUAAUAACAUUAAACAAAAAAUUAAAACUUUUCUUUAUUCAAAGAGAAAAAAGAAGAUAACUUGACGAAGAAGAUGUGAUGAGAAAGAAAGAGAUCACAAAGGGUAUAAAGGACAAACAACAAGAUAAAUGUGUCUAUCAAGUGAAAUGUGUUUUUUAGUGAUAUUAAUAAGUGAAAAUGUGUCUUGGGAUGUAAAUUUUUCAAAUAAAAUUUUGUUGAUAUUUGAGUAAGUUAUAUAGAAAGACACAUUAUGACUUCUAUUUUCUCUAAAGGACGCAUUGUUUAGUUGACACACUUUGUUUGGACAGCUGUAUUAUUUUGGACAUAAAUGACCUUGCUUUUGUGCAAGUGGAAGAAUGUUUGUUUUAGAGAAGCAUCGAGCAGCUAACUAAGUUUGUUUUUUGUUGCAAUCAAUGCAAUAGUUAUUACGAGAAAAUGUUGGUAUAUGGGUUUAUGUGAAUUAUUUUUGGGAACAGAAAAAUAAUUAAAUCUAACUAAAAAAAAUUAGAUCUAGGGUUCUUCACGCCAUUUACGGUGGGGCUUCUUCACAGCCAUUGACGGUGGGUCUCCGGAGCUUGAACAGAGGAGGCAAGCUUGAACGGUGAAGAGCCUGAGCCCGAGGCGAGAAGACAGACAGUGAGCUUGUGAAGAGGUGAGGAGAGGUGGGAAGAGCUUUACCGUGUGUAGGAUCUUUUUCACAACAAAAAAUCUAACGGUUGUGGAAGAAGCUUGCUUUUCAUGAGUAGUUAUUAGUAGGUUGUCCAAUUAAUCUGUUCCUUUUUUGAGAUAUGAUUUUUAUUAUUUUAUUUAUAAGUGCAGAUAGAUGAGAUGUGUUUGGUGAUAUGUAGAGAAUGAGUAUUUGGUUCCAGAGGUAAAUGGGAGUUCGUUUUGGACAAGAGAAAGAUGCGUGGACGGGAGAUGUGUUGAUGAGAAAUGCGUGGAUGGGAGACGCGUGGACAUGAGAUGCAUGGACGGGAGACGCGUGGAGCCACUUACACCACCACUGUAACUACCCUCACAUCUUACACCACAUCCUUUAUUGCGGUGGUCACCGCCAUCUCCACCUCCAUAUCCUCCACCUUCACGUCUUCCACCUCCACCGUAUCCACCACCAUCGUAUCCACAACCAUCUCCUCUACUCGAGUAGCCACCUCCACCAACCACCACCAUUGUAUCCACACUUAUGUCUUCCACCAUCGCCACUACAAGAAAACAUGUAAUUACCGAGUGCAAAAUUAGUCACAAAUCAGUCGUAAAACAUCUGUUUGCGACUAUUUUGCGACUGAAUCGCAUAGUCGGAAUACCACGCGUCGCUAAAACAAUUAGUCGUUAAUCGGUUGCUAUUUUACAACUGACUAGCGACUGAUUUACGAUUACAAUUAUUAGUCGCAAAGCAGUCACAAUUCAGUCGCAAAAUAUUACGACUGAUAUGCAACUAACUGCUAUUUCGUUUACGACUACUCCACGGCUGCUCUUAAGUUGUUAUAUGGUCGAUGUCGUAGUCGUUUUUCAGUCACAAAAUCAAUUAAUAUAUUUUUUUAAAAAUAUAUUUUUUUAAAAAUAUUAAUCAAUUAAAAAAUUUUGAUUAAUCAAUUAAAACACAAAAAUAUGGUUUGCAAUUGAAUUAAAAUAAAUGAAUCUAGACCAUUAGAUUUAAGCAAUUUAAGAUAAUCAACGAUUGAGAUAGUAUCCCUUAAUUAGUGUAUUGACCAAUAUAAAAAGAGAAGAAAUUUUUUUUUAAGAGAAGAGAUUAUUGAUUAUAUUUGUGUAGGGUUUGAAGUUUUGGAGUUUUGACUUGAAAAAUAUAUUUUUAUAGGUCUUAGUUUUAACUUAAGAUUAAGUGUAUAAAUAGUAGAUACAUUUUGGUUAAUUUUUUUUAAGUUUGUGAUUUUAUGUUUGGAGUUUUGAUUGAAAGUUAUGAUACAGGGUUUGAAGGUUAAAUUUAAAGUUUGGAAUAGUAUGGUUGAAACUAAUAAAAUUUUCUUCUCCAUUUAUAUACAGUUUGUUUAGAAAUUUUCUAAAUUUAAAGUAUUAGAUAUCAAAUUUAACAUUUGUAAAAUAUAUGUUUAAGAUUUGGUGUUCAAAUUUUAAGAUAGAGUUGUUUGGGUUUAGAUUUGGGUAUAAGGUAAAUUAUCAAUAAAAAAAAAAAAAGCCUAAGAUUAAUUUAUAGUAUUUGGAGUUUAAUUUUAAAUUUAAUGUAUAUAGCAUAUACGAGGUUUAUAUUUUGAUUAUAUCAUUUAAAAAGUAUUUAAAGUUUAAAUUUAAUUUAAAUGAUAAGAUUGAAAAGAUUAGAUUUUAUAAUGUUAUAUGCAGGUUUAAAUUUGGGGUUUAGGGUAUAGAUGUUAAGAUAAGAGUUUAGGGUAUAGGUAUGCAGUCGCAAAACAGUCGCUAAUUUUACGACUGUUUUGCGACUACCUACUGUGAUCGAUAUCUAUAGUCGUAAAACAGUCGCAAAAUUAGCGACUGUUUUGCGACUACGUAUUCUAUACCUUAUGUGGAGUAUGCAGUCGCAAAUCAGUCGUUAUUUUACGACUGUUUUACGACUACAGUUGCCGACAACAUUAAAUGGUCGCACAACAGCCGCUAAUUACCAACUGAUUUGCGACUGAUUUGUUUAGUCGCACAUUAGCGACUGAUUUAUGACUAACGUAUUUUAGUCACAAAUCAGUCUCAAAACAGUCGCAAUCCUGUCGCAAUAUUUUGUGACUGCACGAUCAGUCGCAACAUGCAGUCGGUAAAUUCAUGUUUUCUUGUAGUGCGCCUCCAUAACCACCACCGCCUCCACUGCGGUAUCCACCGUUUCCUCCACCAUAUCCACCACCACUGUAACCACCACCAUUGUAUCCACACUCACGUCUUCCACCAUCACCUCCAUAACCACCACCACCUCCAUUGCGGUAUCCACCGCUUCCUCCACCACGGUCUCCAUCGCAAACGCCAUCGUUUCCACGGGACUGAACUUUGUUCAUAGUAGAGAUUGAGAUCGAGGAAUAUAGAGAUUUUGAGAUUGAGAUCGAGAAAUAGAGAUUGAGAUUCCGAGAUCGAGAUAUAAAGAUCGAGAAAAGGCGAAAGUGAGAAAGAGUAUUAAGGACAGUUUAUGAUGGAGAAGAUUAGGGUUCAAUCUCUCUAACCUCUCAUGUCUGAGUUUGAUAUAUGGAUCUAGAAGAUGUUAUAGAAGAAAGGGUUUUCACGAUUUUCUAUAAAGCGAAGAUAUAAGGUUUGAUUAUUAAUUAGAGAGAAAAAAAAGUAUUUUAUUUUAAAAAAGAAACAGAUCGGUUUGGUUAGUUAGAAGAAAAGGUAACGAGAGAUAUCAUCUCUCUUAGAUUAGUUGGAGGUUAUCCUAGUAAAUUUGCAAAGAGAAAGUGUGCUAAAGAUUCAAUGUGUCUUUUAGUGAAAUUGGUAACUCAAAUUGUGUUUCUAAGCGUAACUUUUUCUUGAUAUUUUGCCCAUCCCUAUCACCGAUUGCACAUCUACAAUCAGACUGGAUCGAUGCGGUGAACUAGAAAACUUCCAUUUAUUUAUCAAAUUCAUCAAUUUACCAUAUGUUACAUCUUAAACAAUACCGAGUAAACCCUAAGAUCAAUUACAUGUGCUUUUUAAUUUGUCAUCCAUGGGAGUGUUAAUUUAAUUAAAUAACGAUAAAGUUAUGUAAACUUUCCUUAAGACUAAUAAAGGGACCAAAGCUCUUUGUAAUAAAUAAAGGUUUAAAAGGGUUAGCUAGCUCUCUACUUUUCUUUUCCUUAUAAAGUGAAACCCUACCAACUUCUUCGCGGCUGACCAACAGAGAAAUAAAAACAUUCGGAAUCUUCCAGACACAUACACUAUUGGCUGCUCUCUGGUACGUGAAAACUUGUUCAUCUGUUUCCUCGUCUCUACUUUGUUAAAUUGUUUUCUUCUCGCAAGUAUCGCCAUGGACUAGACUUUUACCUUCGAGUCUAGCGUGUGAUGACUCGAAACACAUAAAUUAAGAGCUGUCUGCACCAUUAAUUAAACAUUAAUUACAUGUGCAACCUCUUAGGUUUUUCAAGAUCAUUAGCAAUUGCACAGUUUAAAUGCUUUUUUCAGUAUGGUUAACUUUGAAGACCCACAUGGUUUUGAGUUUUGCAGAUUUUUUUUACUGUGAAAAGAUGUGUGAAAAGAUGAGUUUAUCCGAAGAAGAAAUCAGAAUGCUUUUCAGAGUCACCAAAACACUUAACCAUAUGCUCAAAGAUCGUGGAUACAUUGUCACGGAUGCUGAACUUGAGAUGACACAAGAACAGUUUAUCGACAAAUACGGCGAGAACAUGGAAAGAAAAGAUCUUGUCACUAUCAAGACUAAGAAGAAAGAUGAAUCUGAUCAGGUUUGUGAAUACCAAGGAUACGAGUUUUUGUUUUUAAGUGUAUUUUUUUUUCAAUUCUUCUAACUAAUGCUCAAGUUCGCUCCCCUUGUGGUGGUGGUAGAUCUUUGUCUAUUUUCUACAAGAAACAAAAGUUUAAAUGGGCGACAUCAAGGCUUGCUUUGAGCGCAUGGUAUCUCAUAACGUCUUGAGAGCAAUUCUUGUUGUGAGGAAAGAAAUGAAUCGCUUCGCUUCAUCUGCUAUAACCGACGCAAACUCAAAAGGAAUACUUUACUUGGAAAGUUUUAAGGUUAGUGAGAAAGUUUAUGCUGCUUCCUUGUUUGUGUCUCGAAACAUACUCUUAUAAAGCUCAUGUUUCAUGUGCAGGAGUCAGAGCUUCUAAUGAACGUGAAGGAACAUGCUUUUGUUCCAGAGCAUAUAGCUCUGACAACUGCGGAGAAGGAAGCUUUGUUGGAGAAGUACACUGUGCAAGAGAAUCAGGUUAGGUAUCUUGACACUCUUUAAGCGAUGAAAACUAGUUUAUUGUGGAGACAAAACAAAGCUUUGAUGUUUGAUCUCUUUUUUGUUGUUGUUUUUUUCACUAUAGCUAACAUGUUUGUUUUUUACUCACUUGUGUGGUGUGUUGUCGAUAGCUUCCACGUAUUCAGUAUACGGACCCUAUAGCGAAAUACUAUGGGCUAAAACGUGGAGAAGUCGUGAAGAUCAUACGCAACAGUGAAACAUCUGGUCGUUAUGUCACAUACCGCUUUGUUAUAUGAUAUUAAGAGCUUCUGAUAGGAUCAGGUCUUGGAUUUGUCGGAUAAAGACUUAGAAUGACUUCAUUAGUUUUUUCAUUUAGUGAAAUUUUCACCAAAAAAUGUAAGGAACUUUAUAUGUUUUUUAUCUCAACCAAUAUAUAGAUAGUAGUUUUUUUUUCUUGACAACGAGCGGCCAUUCUAUUACUCAAACUCGAAGUGGUCUGGGUAACCAGACCAAAAUUAAAUAUAACUUCUUAUGAAAGGAUCUAGCAGUCUUAGCUAAAAAAUCAGAAAUCUGGUUUUGAGCACGUGCAACAUGAGUGAUCUUGAAGUCCGGGAAGCAUAUAUAGAUAGUAGUUGAGCACGUGCCACAUAAGUGAUCUUGAAGUCCGGAAAGCAUAUAUAGAUAGUAGUUGAAAGACUUGGACCUUGAUCAUGAUAUAUAGUGCAUGUCAAGAAUAUAGACACUGCUCAAUGGCUAUAUUAUAAGUAAUCAAACUAAAAAAAAAAAACUCAAGUCCUAAAAACUGAAAAGUGGAUUCACAAAGGAGAUGCUGUGGUUUUGUGACAUGCUUCUUCAGCCAAUAACCUCUGAGUUUGAGUCAUCAGAAGGCCAUAUCACGGUCUCCAUCAGUCGCUCACGCAUCAAGGCCAAGUUCUCAUCUGAUAUAUCUUGGUAUAUCUUCCCAUGGUCGCAUUUCUAUAACAAACAACAAACUAGAACACCAUUAGUUUUUGAAUCUUUUCUGGUUCCCAUGACAGAUUUAGAGGUUGAUUUUACCUUGAUCCACUUGCCAUACAAGUGGAGGCGUGUGAUCAUAACUCUUUCUGCAAGCUCCUGACUCUCCUACAAGUCAGUUGAGACAAGAUAAACACAAGAGUUGUCAUCUGAUUCUCUAGUCAAUAUGUUUCAUGCCAAGGUCUAAACAAGUCUGAAUUAAAAGUAAUAUACCACAACACAGAAUGUGGCUAUGAUAAAAACAAAUAUAUUUUAGCAAAAAAAUAAAAACAAAUAUAUGAAACUGCUUAUUCUUAUUCUCAUUCACUAGCAUAGGAAGAACUCUCAACCCAAAGGGCUCUCCCAAAACCUUCUAUAAUUUUACAACCUUGAACAAUUUCCCCUCACUAACUGCAAUCUAACUAACUCACAAGAGCUACAAUGUACUAAAUUUAGUCCUACACUAAAUAUAGUAGACUAAUAGAUAAAGUUUAAGCAGCUAAACAUCUUCAACUAAGUUUUUGUUACCUUGCCGAGUUUGCGGAGGAAACGUUUGCCUUCAGUUGGUCUAUUUGAUACGACAUAGCUGUUGUAAUACAAAAGAUACACCAUAAGACCAUAAGCCAAGAAUGAUAAUCAAGUAAGUGUGUUUAUAAAUCUAAUCCUAGAGAGAGCUUAUCAAAUGAGCGACUUACUUAUAGAACCAAGUGUAUUGGGGAGGAUUCAUUUCGUAUAACUGAUGAAGAACCGUCCUCACAGCUUUGUAAGUAAAGUAGUUAAUAAGUUGCUGCAUAAUUUGUAAAAGUGAUGAGAGAGCCAUAAGCUUAAAACAAUUUGUCAUUCAAAAAGUUCUCACCGUUUUGACAUCUCCGAAGGUAUCAUCGUAGUUCCCAGCAACGUCCUCGUUGACAAUCAAGAGCUUCUUCUUGCUCCUUCUACUCGCAAUUCUUGGUACGCGUUUGGAAGAAAUCCUGAAAACAAUGCUUGAGCCAGUAAAGGAGCUUCCUAACUCUAGCUUUCUUGAACUGCCAUGGAUCUUCUUCUUGCUCCUCGUGUGAGCAUCCAGACAUAAACAUGGAACGCUCGGAGAAUCCAUCACAGAUGAGCCAAUAACAAACAGAGCACCCACCAUUACUCCCAAACAACAAGAAGAUCAGAACUAUUCCCCCGGUGAUAUGGGAGAACCAGUUUCAAAAAUCAACAAAGAGUUGGUGGAUGGAUGGUAAGAAUCUGAAGAAAGAAAGAUGAAACGUGUUUGGGGUAAUACAAAACAGAGGAACACGAGUUGGGUGUGUAAGAUGGAAAAUGGCCGUUGAAUAACAGCCAGUCAAAAACUCAUAGAGAAGUCUUUUAGAUAUUUAUUUUCUCUUCCUAAAAGCAAAGGCAAAGACAAACAAGAAAACCCACCGGGUGGGCUUUCGGGUUCACGUGGAUACUAAGUAGAAUAAGGUCGUCUUGUAACUUGUAACUCAGAAAUUGCACAUAAACUAAAGUGGACAACCCCCAUAUCACAUGUCCAUCUUAAAGGAAUAGACUAGGAAAAUAUUAAUGUAGAGAAAAUAGAUUGAAUGUGGUUAAAGAGGUGCAAUAGACCAAUUGCAAAGAGGAAAAGUCCCGGUACGAUGUGGACCACCCAUGUUAUAGCUUUUGAAGGUUCACUACAUUGCAAAUAUGAAUGACUUGAAGAUAAAUGUAACAGCUGAAUAAUGUAGAAAAUAUACAUUUAUAUGGUUAAUAAGAGGUGCCAUAGACCAAGUGCAAAGAAGAAAAGUCCCGGUACAGUGUGGACCACCAAUGUUAUAGCUUUGAAGGUUAAAGAUUGUGGAGGAUGGCAACUGGCAAUAAAUAUAUAACUUUGCAAAGAUAGACGAAUUUAAGAUUGAGUAUAUAACAGUUGAACGAGCAAAGGUCUUGAUUUUUGCUUCAAGAAUGAUGAUGCGUUCAUGUGUACGUAGUCAUGUAUGUGUAAGUGAGAAGACGACGUUAUUAAAUUUUAAUUGAUGUCACGUAUAAGAUCAGCAUGACAUGCAAAAAUAGACUCUGCUUAAGAAAAUCAAGUAUUAACGUAAUCACUGAUGUAGCUGAUAGGACAACGACACCAUUUAUCAUCUUGAGCGAUAAUCAAUCACAUAUCAAAUUAUCAACCGAUAAUUUUUUCCCUCUGAUUACGUAAGCGAUCCAAAUAGAACCGUAGCUCAAUAAGAACAUCCCUAUCAGUUUAGAGCACAAAAACAUGUUUCAAAAAAGUCUUCGCCUACUAGUAAUUCUGAGGAUCCCACUGAUAGACCUUCCUCUAAUUUGCACGAGGUACAUUCUAUUCCUCGUUCUAAGUCUGAUACUACUUUACCAUCGUUAGCAGUCGCUGCGCCAUCUGCGUUACAAAUUAUGGAGGAAACUUCAUCUCCCGUACACAUUAGAGAAGCCUCUCACACUUAUGAGACGGAGCAAUAUUUUGGGGCGAGUUUUAACCAAGACUCACCUCACUCUUAAAACAGAAAUGAGAAAGGUAUGUUAUUGGUUGGAGAAACAUAUGGUUAUAACACAACUAGAGGAGGAAGACCAAUAAAACCGACUCAAAAAGUUCGAGAUAUGGGGUGGAAAACUGUUAGAGGAAGAGGUAAACGAGGUCGUCGCGGCCGAGGAAACUACUAUCACUAAUAUUAUCAUGUUCUUUAACUUGCUCUUUACGAUUCAAUCUUUAACUUGAAUCGUCUGUUAGGGAUAUGUUUUCCUUUUUGUUGUUGCAUACUUUAUCAAACUCAUGAGAAAAUCAAGUAUUACUUAUGAAUUUUAAUAUGAAAGCCUGUUAAAAAAAAACAUGUUUCAAGCUACCUUUUAUUUUAAAAUCAUAGUUUUAAAUAUACAAGACACCCUUUAGACUUUAGUUUAGCUUUAUUUGUCUUUAAAUUAAAAAGCCAAUAGCUAGAAGUUUCAAUACAGAGAACCACAAGACCACAUCCACGUGGUCUCGACCGACCACACUUCAGAACCCGGAAAGCCCUGAAAAUAUUUAAAUCAAUUAAUAAGCUAAAAACGUAUACCUAUUCGAAGCAAAGGUAAGUCUACUUCUUUAUAUAUAUAUACACACACACUCAUAGAGAUGCAUCAAGAUUCCACUUACACAUUCUAAAAAACUCUAGACUUUUAUCAAAACCAAAGAAAAUCAAGAACAUAUGGCGAGAUCACCAUACUACGGUUCAUCAUACUUAGACUACCUCUCUCUCCCAAACCCACAUCUAUGUUUCUUCUUCAUGGUCGUCUUCUUCGUGUUCUCCUUCACGUGGUACUUGAACUACGAGUCCAUCCUCGAAGACACCAUGAAUAAUCUCAAGUUCUUCAUCAUCCUCUCCCCUCUCUUCCUCCUCCUCCUCGUCCACUUCUUCUCCGGGGGACUUUCCUUGUACGUCCCCUUGCCUGAACAAGACUCCAUCCACCAUGCCGGUUCUUCCCCUUGGGGCGUAGCGGCCGUGCUCGUGGUCAUCUUGUUCAUGGUCUCGUACCAGUCAGACAUCCAUGAGAUGUGGUUUCCCUUUGGGGCUAAGUAGAUCGAUCAACUUGAUAUUUCCUUAAAACGUAUUACCAGCUCUGUCUAGCUAGAUAUGGAGCAACCAUGUUAAAUAUCAAGUAGUAUAUAUGUACUUUUCUCUUUUGAUGAAGAUUUUAGUCCCGCAUGUUUGUAGGAGUGAAACUUUUGUCCGAAGAUAUCUAAAGUCAUAUCAGAGUGUCCAUAUAUGUAGAUGAAGUUGUUUCUGCUUGUAUUCGUAAAUAUCAUAUGGAAAAAUGAGAUGAAGAUGACUUGUUUUGAUGCAAUAGAAAGUUUAAUAGAUGGCUUGUUUUGAUGCAAUACGAAUAUUGCACCUAAUGUGUGUACAUUGACUUUGGACCACUACUGGUAGUAAUGGUUCUCCUUGUCCUCUUUUGACAAGUGGGAGAUGUUAUUGUCGUGAUUUUCACCUUUUUGUAAGGAAAUGGUCGGUCACAACGCCGUUAUAUAUUUUUUGGCAGGAAUAUAAAAUGCUCCGUUACAAAAGAAUCUUGGAUACAGCAGAUUUGUUGCUUAUUUUUAUAAAGUUAUCGGAAACGUUGCAUUGCUUUGGUUAUAGAAAGAGUAACGUUGAAAGCAACUGCUUACUAUUAUACUAAUACCUAAGGGUUAUCUUUAAUUUUCAAGUUUUGUUUAUGAGAAAAGGACACCGACGUAUUUUACUUUCAUUUCCCACCACACUUUUAUAAAGUUAAAGGCGUAGAUUUUAGUGUAUGACAAUUCACAAAUACUCAGGAUUGAAAGCGAUGUUUCCCCACUAUGAUUUUGCCAAAUUUUCUAAUAGAUCUUCCAAAAUGAUAGACUGGAUGAUUGAUCCACGUUAUGUGUGAGAAAAUAUUAUUUCUAUAAAGUUCUGAAACACACAUUAUUUCAAGUGAGACUUGAGACCAUAAAGAAAAAGUAAACAUGCCUCUUUUAUAUCAAAUUAUGUGAACUGUAUAAUGGACAUUAAAUAGCCCACCGACUGACCCAUAUGGGCCCAAAUAGAGAGACGAGUAGGAAAAGAACUCUCAAACAAAGGACGAAAGCCAUAACUCAGAGGUUCUCUUCAAGCUCAGCUAUCUGCAACUGUCUCAAACCAAGAGACAUAUAUUCUUCUUGUGCUAUUAAAGCUGAAACAUGCAAUGCAUUAAAAGAAGAAAAAACUCUUAUCAUCCGUAAGUUCUUUCACUACAAUAAUCCUUGCUUUUACUACAAUCUUAUUAACCGGGGAGCUUAACAAGAUCAACCAACCAGGUCAUAAAAAGGUAAAAACGAUCUGAACCAAAAGAGAAAGCUUACCAUGACUACUUCACACGAAUUUCACCUGGAAAGCUACUCUCCUGACUCUCAGAUAUUAAAAGCGACGAGAGAACUAGACUACGACUACUAAGACAAGCACAUUUUUGAUAUAUACAUCAUAGAGCUGCAGAGAUCCAUCACUAAUAGAAGCGAAAACGGUAAACACGACCACUCUCAUCACCACCUAUCAUCAUAAGUUCCCGUGCAAGUAUCAUAAUCAUAUGGUUGUUCCUCGUUCUCCAACAGAAUCAUUCUCAGAUCAUUCUUCGCCUGAAACUUCCUUCUCACCUUGUUCCUUACCCUUCAAGUUUAUUUUGGGUCUCCUUCCCUUCAUCCACAUUGCUCUUCUCAUCAUUAACAUCUUUCACCGCAACACCCUCUCCUCCAGCCACAUGGUUCCCCUUCCCAUCACCACUAGUACGCGAAUCAGACCCCCCAGCGUCAUCCCCCUCACUUCCAGACUCAUUCUCCACAACUUCUUCCACCAUAUUCCUCCUCUCAAGAUACUGCAACCUCCUCCGCAAGUCACCCAACUCCCUCUCCAUCAAGAACAGCCUCUCCUUCAACGUCAAGUUCUCUUCCUCAAGCUGCGCAAUAUGACUAUCCUGAUCAUCAACUCGACUCUCCAACACAUUGUUAUACUCAUAACCACCGUAGCUCGGAUAAAUCAUCUCAAACCUACUCAAAUCAUGAUCCAACCUCCUCUCAACCUCCACAUGCUCCUCCACAUCGCUCUCACUCGAUCCUCCUUCUUCAUCCUCAUCCUCAUCAUCAUGUCCAUCAGAUCUCAGCCUAAUCAGCCCCUUCAUGGAUCCGUAACCGUCAACGCCCCACUCCUCCUUCGCCAUAUCUCCCAAAACCUCCCUCGACGGAGAAAACAUCGGCGUCUGAAGUAUCGCCGGCGUCACGGGGCAGGGAGACACCAGCUCGGCGAUUCCGCCGGAUUUCUUCGCUCGGAUGAUAAACGACGUCGUGUUCCUCGGCGCGUAGGGAACGUAUCGGUUGUUACUGUUACCGUACUUCUUCUUCGGGUAAAACUUCUUCGUUUUUAAUCUGUUCUGAGAUUGGAGCUCGUUGAGCGUCGGCGGCUUGUAACCGCCGCCAGGUUGUUGCGGCGGAGGAGGGUUGUACAUCCUCAUCAUCGGUGGUGGCGGUCUCUUAUCGGUUAUGAUCUUCUUCCCUUUCCAGUUGUUGUUGUUGUUGCUCCGGUUCGUUUUGGGAUGGUUAGAUCCGAAGUUCUGAUACUCCGAGCUCAUGCUAGGGUUAAGGUUGAAGCUCCGGGGAUUCAUCAUCAGAGUCUGGUUGUUGUUGUUGCUCAUCAUAACCGGUGGCUGAUGGUUUAAACCGAUAAUCGGAUGAGCCUGGUUCAUAAUCCGAGGCUGAACCGGGUUCAUUAGGGACGGCUGAGGUGGAAUCAUCCUCUGCGGAGGAGGUUGAGCUAUCAUCUGUGGCGGAUUCAUGAGCUUAGAUUGAUCGUUCAUCUUCACAAUACAAACACACUAAAUAAUGAAACAAAACCCUAAUUUCGAGAAAUCUCGAAGUUGAAGCAAAAUCAAGCAGAUAGAUCGAUGAAGCAAACCACGGAUCAAAGAAGAAACAACACAGAGAUCAAUCAAAAACAAAGGCAGCAAGCAAGAGAAUCUCUCUGGAAUUUGAGUUUUCAGAUUUUAAUUCUUCGAUGAUGAAUUCAGGAGUUUUGAGAGUCUUGUAAUUGGAUCUGGGGGAAUUUUCAAAAUUACAAGAGGAAAAUUAAAAACGAAAAGAGAACUUCUGGUACGAACGGCUUUGUGAUGAUAAGAUUCUUUAAAUAGAGGCCAGGGUAGGCUUGCUUGGUCCAAUCAACGAAGGACAUUCUACACGUUAAAAGCAACGGCUUAGAUUUUAUUCAUUUUGAAGCUAAGAAGAGUCGGUUACGGGUUUCUUUGAUGUAAUCGCAAGUGUUGGUUAACUUAAACCGGAACACAGAUGGUACGCAGGCCCAGACCUGGUCGGGCCUUAAUGGGCUGUCCUCUGUAUUAUAAAAAAUAACGCGGGAGAACAUAUCUUCUUACGUGGCUGGAGGAAAUCCAAAGCGGGGCCCAGCACCGAUUUCUAUUCUGACGUGGCAUCACCCAAAUCACUGUAACCGUGUCCUUCUUCUCCAGUCCACCUCGUCUCUUCCACAUUCCAUUAUCCGCUUUACUCUCUCUCUAGAGCAACAAUGGCUACGGCUGCUUCUUCCCUUACGAUCGCGUCGUCGUUCUCCGAACCACGGACUCAGAUCCGUUCAUCGAAACGCUCGAACCUUCCAGUACUUCAAUUCUACAUCCCGUAUAAGGCUAAUUCACGGAGCAGGAGACUCGUCGUACGCUCCGUUUCAGCGCCCAACGUUGAGAUCCGUACCGGACCCGAUGAUCUCAUUUCAUCCCUCCUCUCUAAGGUCUGCAUUGGUUUGAGUCAAAUACUUAAGUGGAAAGCAGAGCAAAUCCAACUGUGUGUUUUGAUGAUUAUGGUUUGGUGUGUUUCACACACAGGUUGCGAACAGUGAUGGAGGUGUGACGCUUAGCCCUGAGCAACACAAGGAGGUGGCACAAGUGGCUGGAGAGCUUCAAAAGUACUGUGUGAGCGAGCCUGUUAAGUGCCCUCUCAUCUUCGGAGGUAAGCUUCUUGCUAGAUUGCUUCUGAAUCCUUGAGUAAAAAUGUAAAACUUUAGAAUUGUUCUGGUGCAGAUUGGGACGUGGUGUACUGUUCUGUACCGACAUCUCCUGGUGGAGGCUACAGAAGCGUGAUAGGGCGUCUCUUCUUCAGAACUAAUGAGAUGAUCCAAGGCAUUGAUUCUCCUGAUAUAGUGAGGAACCGAGUUUCCUUUACUGCGUUGGGUUUUCUUGACGGAGACGUCUCCUUGACAGGUGAAACUGCAUAACCCUAGAGAUAACUUUUUGGUCAGUCACAAUAUGUGGUUAAUGUUUUAACCUGUGUUUUGGUUUUUGUAGGGAAGCUGAAAGUGUUGGACAGUGAGUGGGUUCAGGUGAUAUUCGAGCCUCCGGAACUCAAGGUUGGUUCUCUUGAGUUUAAAUAUGGGUUUGAAAGCGAAGUGAAGCUUAGGAUCACAUACGUUGAUGAGAAACUUAGGUUGGGAUUAGGGUCUAGAGGAUCGUUGUUCGUCUUCAGGAGGCGUCAGUAAUACAUUUAUAUACUUCCAUGUCUCUUCUCUCCCUCGUCCAACAGAACAGAAGAAACAACAUAUGAGAGUACCGCGAGAGUGUGUAAUGGUGUAAAAAAUCACAAAAUGUGUGUUUAAGAUGGAACUUUGUUGUAAUGUAAACUUCGUUCCGAGGGUGUAUCACUUACGAUGAGUUGUUAGCUAUAUAUGUUAUGAAGUUGUGUUCAAAUCUCUCACCAGAGUGUUUAAACUAGAAAAGCACCAUCUACAGAUUCAGAAUUGUCACCUGUUGAGGAACAAAGCAUACAUGAGUAGUUUCUAAAAGAUUCUAUCUAUAAUGCUCUCGAUGCACGUUUACUCUAAUGUAUAAUACACAAAGAUGCACAUAUAAUGAUUACCACAAGCCUGAAUAUGAUUACCAAUGCCCUCGCCCUCUUCCUGAUCUUCCCCUUUCCCUUUCCAUGGCCAAAUUUAUCGUCUGUUCUUCCGUAAUCAAACAUAUUCGUUCUGAUAUUCACCUCCUGACCAUAAACAGCAGAUUACAAUCACAUCUCUCUCUCAGUGUAACCAUUUCUGAUUGAAUGAUCCCAAGCUCAUAAGCCAUUGACUGAAUGACAGAUAAGAGGUGUGCUGCUAAUCAAAAUAACAGACUUGUUGGUUGUUUACUUUUAAUCAGUUGAGCACUUAGAAGACGGAUUUCAAUUACAAAUAUCCAGAUAUAAACUAUACAUGCAUAAAGGCCCAAUAACUAACGGUUUUAUUGAAAAGCCCAAUAACAAACCACUGCGUCGUCUGCUAGCGAUUGCGUGAGUCAGAAAGUCAUCAAAACAGAGAGAACAAACUCUCUCCUUGCCUGACAUGGAGAUAACCUCGGUCAAGACGUAUUGGUCGACCCGGUGGAUAUGACUACGAACUCGAUGGACCUAACAUAAUUAGUCAAGAAUAUUUAUACCCAAAAAACCAACACGGAAUUGACCCAAAAAUCAAAAGUCUCAUGCUCUUUUAGACUUGGUCUAUAUACUCGAACGGUUUUUAUAGUGUUAUAUUCGAAUACCAAUAUCAAACCCAAUCCGCACUGAAAACCGAAUAAAAAUUUUGAUUUUUUUUGAAAAAAUUAUUUUUUAAUAUUUUCUGUUAUAUAUAUAUAUAAAUAUAUAUGUAAAUGCGUUAAUAUGGUAUUCACUAACUUUAAGUUAAAUCACAUUUAAUAAAUAGUUUUUAAUCGAAUAACCUAUUUAAAACCCACUAUGAAUAUUUAUUUAUAUUAAAAGUCCACUUAUAAAAAUUAAAUAUCACUAAUAAUCUGUACCACUAAUUAAUAUUAAUAUUAGUUAACUAUUUUUUUUUUUGAAAAAAUAAUAGUUCAAAAAAAAAUAUUAGUUAAAUUUUAAAGUUUCAUUUUAUAGUAAACAAACUUAAGAAAUAUAUCUCCAUCGAUUUAUAUAUAUUCCUGUUUUAGUAUUAUAUAUAUCAAUUUAUGAUUUAGUUGUAUAUGUAUUAUUAUAUAGAAUAAACAGAUUGGGUAUAAAAUGAACUUACGCAGAAAUUAUGAUGUAAUCAUAGUAUCAAGUAAUAUAUUAGAUGCUUUGUCGUUGCGUCAAAAGCAAUAAAGCAUUAUAGAGAGAAGUUGGUCCUGAAUAUUUUGGAAGGAGUUGUUUCAAAAUAGCGUAUUAACCGUGUAUAGUUAUUUAUUAUUGUUAUAUAAUUAUGUUUAUAUUUUAAAUUUCAAAAAAAUGUUGGACACAAACUUUAUCAACCGGUCAUGUUGAUGUUUUAAUAGAAUGAAAUUUUGGACAGGAGGUUACACAUCCCUAAUACACUUUUAUGCAGUUAUAUUUUACAUUAUACAUUAUUUUAGAUGCAAUUAUAUUUUAAGAUGGACUAAACAUAUAUCAACUGAUCAUGUUCCUGAUUUAAUAGUAUUGAUAGUUAGUUAUUAUUGUUAUAUAAUUAGGUUUAUAUUUUAAAUUUCUGAAAAAUGUUGGACACAUCAUUUAUCAACUCGUCAUGUUGAUAUUUUAAUAGAAUAUAGUUUUAGACCGGAGGUUACACAUGUCUAAUACACUUUUAUGCAAUUAUAUUUUACAUUAUGCAAUUAUAUUUUAGAUGCAGCUAUAUUUUCAGAUGAACUAAACAUAUAUCAACAGUCAUGUUCCUAAUUUAAUAUUCCCUCCGUUUUUUAAUAUAAGUCGUUUUAGAAUUGUGCACAUAGAUUAAAAAAUUUUUUUUUUUUUAUAUUUUCUAAACAAAAACAUCAUUAAUUAUUUAACUAACUACAAAUUAACCAAUAAUAAAAUAAAAAAUAUAUUAUCAUUGGUAAUAUAACAUUAAUUGAAUUAAUAAAUUUUAUAGGGAUUAGCAUUGAUAAGUAAUGACUUGCGUCUUGUUAGCGGGAGUCAAGCAGAAAGUCGUCGAAACAAACAGAGCCACAAACUUUCUUCUGAAUCGGUUUAGCGGUUAAGUCGAUAAAGAGUGAGUAAAAAUGACGAUGGAGGAUGCUAACUCCGUCUACGUCGGCGGCCUCCCUUACGACGUCACCGAGGAAGCUCUCCGCCGUGUUUUCUCCACUUACGGCACCGUUGUCGACAUUAAGGUAGAUUUUCCCCACUUGUUGCUGCUUACAAGUUCCUAAUUUAGGUUUCACACUACUCAUUUGCUUUCCUUUUUUAAUUGCAUAUGGUGAGAUUGUGAAUGAUCGGAGUGUAAGAGGGAAAUGCUACGGCUUCGUUACAUUUUCGAAUCGUCGAUCUGCUGAUGAUGCUAUCCAAGACAUGGAUGGCAAAGUAUGGUUCUCUCCAAAAAAAAAACUAAAUAUUGAAGCUUUUCACUGCUACACUUCUUUGUUGUGACGGUAGUGAGCUUGUGAUCAGAUUAUUGGUGGGCGUGCGGUGCGUGUGAAUGAGGUGACAACAAGAUUUGGUGGUCAGGGGAGGUUUCAACCACAAAGCCCCUCUGAUGGGAGAAGUGAUUUUGGUUAUGAAAGGGAUCGGUUUAGUGAUAGGUCACGGGAACGGGAUAGGUCUCAGGACAGGAGAAGAGCUUAUGAACGUUCACAUGGUUUCGAGGGGAGAAAUGAUCAUGGUAUGCUGGAUAGGGAUGGUUACAAGGAGAGAGGUUUCGAAGAAGGAGAUUGGCGUGGGGAUAGGUCUUUUGAGGAUAAUGGUAGGGGGGUUCACAGGGCCAGUUCUGACGAAGAAACAAAGAGAGAAGAUAGGUAAAAACGUUCCGUUUUAACUUGUAGAUGUGUUUUAGACUUCUAGUGUUCCUUAAGUCCAGAACUGGGAUGCUUCUGUAGAGUUUCGUCACUCUGUAAACCAAAUCAUCCAGACCUGUUGUGGACCUUGUGGAAAGGUCUGAUUAACUAUUGCCAAUAUAACUGAAAUGCAGAAUGUUUAGUUUAAUGGAUUUGCUGAGAAGGUUUGCUCUUGUUUCCUUUGUGCAUUUUGCUGUUUGAGGAAUGUUUUGGCUUGCACUGUAGCUUCGUUGAUAAUUCUUUCCGUGAAACACCAUUCUUGGAGACAAAACAGUUUAGGAAUUUCAGUGAUCCACUAUAGAGUAAAUGAUGAAAUUCUAUAUGAGGUCACUGCUAUACCCUAUGAAAAUAGCUUAGUCCAGCCGCUAGGUUGUAGUAGGUGGGACAUUAAGUUAUCAAACUAAAGUUAUUUUAGGCGUUAGUUGCACCUUAGCAUAUAGAUUAAGUUCUAUCAGAUUCUUUUCUGCAUUGCUUGGACUUUACACUUUAGCUGCUUUAAGCAACAAAUUAAUUGCUUUGGUUUUCUUGAGAUGACUAAAUCCUUGUGUGCUUUUAUUGAAUUAACAGUACCAUGCUUGAUGGUGGGCGUGGUAGAGAUGGCAAAGAUCACUUCUCUAACUCAAGUGGAGAUCGCAGCUUUCAGGUAACGAUAAUGUUUGUUAGGAAAUUAUUGCUGCAUAGUAUAGUUCAUGUAAAACUUGCGUCUUUCAUACAGGUGAAAGAAGAAUUGGAAGCGCUGAUCAAGACGCAUGACGUGCUUCAAGAUGAGGUAUGAGAUCGCAUACCUGCUCAGAUAGGCAGUUGUUUGAUUUCAUGAAUCUUUUCCACAAUUUACUCUUAGACAUGUAAACCAAUGGAGCAACAGUUUCCUUACAUAGUCGUGGGAGAUGGAAGAAAUUAUUGACGAGUUUAUAUUUAAGGUUCUGGUGAUGGAAGAGAGAUUGGAAGUAAAAGAAGUUCUGUGCUCAGAGCUAGAGAAGAAGUCUAAGGUAUGUGUCUACUAUAUUUUACGAAUUCAACAUGUUUUAUUUUUACUUUUAUUCUCAUUUGAAAUGGUUAAACGCAGAGAUUAGAAGAUUUAUUGAGCAAUGAAAAGAAACUGACUUCACAACGCCGAAAAGAAUUGGCAAAGGUAAACAACCAUAGGAUCACAAAGUUCGUUUUGUUUAGGGUAAUGUUCUUGACAAAGUUCGACUAUUGGUAUAUGUUCUUGGUAGCUACACAAAUCAUAUUCAAAGGUCAGAGAGUGCGGUGACAACCUGAAAGGCUGCGAACAGGAACUCCAGGUUAGAUUCUAUUUUUUGUACUCUAGUGAUUGUCAUAACAUAAGGAUUAAGCCUCAUGGUGACAUGUCUUUGUUUUUCUAUUGCAGUCGCUUGUUAAUUCAGCAGCUAGAGAAGGCGUGGCUGGUGCUGAUGAAGGACUAGAAAACGGGUAUGUGCAGUACAAGGUGUAGUGUAAUGAAUGCAGUCAUUCUCAUGUAUCACAUGUUAUGUCGUAAGUAUAGCUUUGUUUCUUUUGGAGACGAGCUUAGUGAUAUUUGAAUAUUUGUAUUAAUGGAUAGGAGAAUGAAAGGUAACAGGUUUACAAAAAUGAUACUAUAAUUCUAUAAGAAGCCAGAAACCAUGCAAAGUUACUAGAAGAAACCUCUUCAAAUGUGAAAAAAAAAUACUCAAAUGCUAAACCUCUUCAAAUGUGAAAAAAAAAAUACUCAAAUGCUAAACCUCUUCAUCAUACAUUAGUAGCUACUUUCCCCGGAAUCAACUCCACUGACUCUUCAUCAACCUUCUCACUGUUGUUCAACACUUGAGCUUGACCACUGGUGGGUUUCUUAGCCACAGUCACAGACUGCUGAUAACCAAUACCAACCACAGAUUGUAACAAGGAGAACCAACCAGUGGUGGACGCAAGUGAUGAGGAAUGGGGUCACAUGCCCCCAACUAGUUUUUAUUUUCCUUCACUAAUUACUUUUAAUUUAAGAAAUUUUUUUAUAAUCCUACAAUGAAACGUAAUGAAAUAAAAUGUUGUGCCCCCAUCUAAAUAUGAUUCUGCAUCCGCCACUGGAACCAACCCAACCGGACUCGCAUGCUUAUCCCAAAUCAGAACAUUAAUCACAACAGUCAAGAACUUGUUCACAACCUCAGUCACCGUAAAAGCCGUCGCGGAGAUCUAGCAGCAAACCCAAAGAAGCUAAUAAGAGAACCAAACACACACGACAACGCCACUGCGAAAAACACAACGGUCCAUUUAAGAUCUUUCUUUCCAUUUAAGAUCUUUCCAAACGAAGCAAGAAACAGUCAUUUUAAUCUCCAACUUUUAAAAAUUGUCUAAUUUAAAUUUAACUUUUGCUGACUAAACCAUUUAAGAUAAACGAAAAAUCAAUUCGUUUAUUAUCAGUAAAGAUUAUUUACAAAGGUUAGAUCAAAGUUAUUAAGAAAAGUAAUAAGAGUAUAGGAUUUCCCAAUUUUAUCUAUAUAUUGCUUUUUUAAAUUUUGAUAUAAGUUGGAUUAAGAUUUUUAACGUGACUGGCUAGAAAAUAUGAGCACAUAAAUGAGAUUGAUAUAAGAUUUUUGUUGUUGUUUUCAGACUUGCUCACAAGUGAUAGUGAAACGGUGUUAACCAGAAGACAUAUAUACGAAAUUAGUAGCAAAUCAAAACAAAAAGGAUAAAGAAUAUGGCUAACUAAUGUGCAUCAUAUAUCACCAUGAGAAUGAAAUUCAGAAUUCUUAGAAAAUAGGUUGGUUCAUCUUAACUUAUAUUAUACUUUUUAUCAAACUAACUAUCAAAUUAAUAAAUAGUAUACAAAAUAAUAUUCUCGCACUUUCCUUAAAUAAAAGUUACGAAAUUACCUAAUAUGAUUAACGUAUGUAUGACAAUUAAUGAUUAUGAAUAAUAAAUAUUUGAUAACAAUUUUUGCAUUUUAGUUAUUUUUUGUUUAACUUUAUAUUAUUAAAAGAUAUUAAACAAUCACAUUACCAAUACCAUAUAAUAAAAAUAAUACUUUUUCUAUAUUUUAUAUUUUGAAUCUUUAAAAUGACUAUAAAUUACUUAAAAUUUUUCACACUAAAAAUUUGUGAUCAAUAGUUUAACUUUUUUUAUAAUAACAAGAUACAAAUGAUCAUAAAUCGUAUGAAUAUAAAGUCCUAUUUAAUAGACAUUCAUAUUAUAUAUUAAUAUAGUUUAAAAUUAAACUAUAUACAUAUAAAAAUACAUAAAUAUGUUAAUUUAUAAAUUUGUAUUGAAAAAAAAUUGAAACCUUAAUAUUUUAAUUUUGAAAUUUGCACUGAAAAUAUCGCACAUUAAAAUAUCAUUAGGCCUGAAUUCUACAAUGGAGUUUUUAUAUGAAAUUUUGAAUUUCAAAUUUUCGGUCCUGGGGGACGGCGGAGGCUAGGUUAGCCGAAAGAUGGUUAUCGGUUCAAGAACGCAAGGUGUCAUGUAUCAAUUGGUUGAAAGGCCGGAAAGAAAAUGUUGAAUUCUCAAUAAUAAAUAUUUAUAUUAAAAUAUACUAUAUAUCUAUGUCCAUGUCAUUGAACUUUAGUUAUAUAUCUUAUUGAAUAAAUAAAAAGAUAUGUCAUUGAACGUUAGUUAUAUAUCUUAUUAAAUAAAUAAAAGAAUAGUUUUGAUUAUUUACCAAAACAAUAUUGUAAAUAAAUAAGACGUAUUGUUUUGAUUUAUGUGUUUAUUCUAAUCUAAUUAGAUAUAUAAUAUAUAAAUGAAUACAAAUAAAUAAUAAUAUACAAAAAUUAUUCAGUAGGCAUAUAUUGUAUAUGUUGGCCUCUAAAUAAACAUGUGUUAUUCAUAUAAAACAAAAAAGGAUAUUAGGAGGUAUUAAAACGUAUCAAGGUUUUUAAAUCCUUGAUGUAGGUUCUUGAGAUAACUUAUUAUGUUCAUCUGCCACAGUCAGCCGCACACUGUCUUGGGUCCGCGUAACAUAUUCUCUCCUCGUUAACUCCACAACAAAAACACCUGCGGGCUUUGUCUCUUUUUGUGGGGCAUUGGAUUUCCGUGCAAGUUUUUUCAGGUGGCAUGAACGGGCGUUCAAUAAUUUGGCCAUCGACAACUAUAUAAACAAAAAAUAAUAACAAUAUCAUUUAGAGCAAAAAAAAAUUAUCAAGGAUAUUAUGAUGUGAUUAAAAUAGUGAAAAAUAGAUGAUAAACAAAACAAAAAAAACUAUUAUAAACACAUACAUUCAUGAAAAGGAAAUAAAGCAAUUAAGAUGAUGUAAAAGAUAGCGAACUGUGAUGACGACAUAUUAUUCUUUGUGAUAUUUUUUUGAUACAUACUAUUUUUUUUUGUUUUUUUUUUGUUUUAUUGUUUGAUGGUUGAAAUUUCUAUGUAAGAUGGUAGUUAAUUUAUAGGUUUUUCAAUUAAUCUCUAGAUCUAAAGGCCAUCGACAACUAUAUAAACAAAAAAAUAAUAACAAUAUCAUUUGGAGCAAAAAAAUUUAUCAAGGAUAUUAUGAUGUGAUUAAAAUAGUGAAAAGUAGAUGAUAAACAAAAGAAAAUUAUUAUAAACACAUACAUUCAUGAAGAGGAAAUAAAGCAAUUAAGAUGAUGCAAAAGAUAGCGAACUGUGAUGACGACAUAUUAUUCUUUGUGAUAUUUUUUUGAUACACACGUUUUUUUUUGUUUUUUUUUUGUUUUAUUGUUUGAUGGUUGAAAUUUCUAUGUAAGAUGGUAGUUAAUUUAUAGGUUUUUCAAUUAAUCUCUAGAUCUAAAUAUGUAAGAUAGUAAUGCAUAUUUUGUAUGGCGAUCCACAAAAAUUGGUUAGAUUUGUUUGACUUGUUUUGUGAUAAUUAUAAUGGUGUUCACUUUUAUUUUUUUAUUGUGCUUAUGGAACUAGUCAAACUGAACUAUUGUGUGGUAAUCAUAUUUGAAUAAUAUGUAUGAGUUAUUAACUGUUCUUUUUUAUUUUUAAAACACGAACUACUUAUUAUAUAUAAUCAACUAUUUCUUUUUAUACAUAUACAUAUAUUUAUUUAUUUAUUUAUUUAUUAAAUGUAUCUGAAUAAUAAAAAAUCAUUACUAUUAAAACAGAAACAUGACUUAUUGAUAAAAUUGAUAAAAGUUAUGUCCAACUAUGUAUUUUCUUUAUUUAAGGAGCCACUUAUUAUUAAUAAUAUUAAUUCAGAAUCACUAUUAAUAUUUAUCUCUACUUUCACCGGACAUGUGUUUUCAAAUAAAUAAAUGCCCCUCAUUAAUGGUAGAAUGGUAAUUGCCAUAUGGACUAACAAGUAGCUAGGGUGUCAAAAUGAGUUAGCUUGCUCAACUCAGCUCAACUCAUGGUGAGUUUGGAUCUUUCAUGAGCUAGCUCAACUCAGCGCAUUUACUAUAUGAGCUUUAAUAUACAAACUCGAACUCAGAUCAUCUAAAUCAUGAGUUAAAUGAGCUAACUCGCGAUCAUACAUAAAAAAAAUUAUAAAAUAAAUAAAAAUAGAAUAUUUUUUAUAGUAUAAUUUUAAAUUUAAAAAUCCAAAGCGUCUAUAUUUAAAUACUGAAUAAAACCAAGACCUAAUAUAUUUAAUCAAAGCUAAAUCAAUGGUCCAAAAAUAUAUUUUACAUAAAAGUCAUGUGAUGAUUCAUAUUCAAACUCUUUAUCUACUCAAAUCGUAAAGAUAUAUAUUCCGCAUGAAAGUCUUAGGAAUAUUUAGUUUUAUAUUUUAGUUCUAAAGAUAUAUGAUAUGAGGAUUUAUAUCAAUAUUCCUUUACAUUUUAGUAUAUAUUUAUUACUUUUGGUUUUAUAUUUUAAUUUUAUAAGAUAAAUAUGAUUAGUAUAGAAAUUAUUUUUUCUUACGUAAGAAAAAUAGAAGUCAUCAAUAUAUAUAUACAUAUAAAGUAUAAAACAACCAAGCUCAUGAGUUAGCUCAUGUUCAUUAAAGAUCGUUCAUAUAACUCGUGAUAUAAUUUAGGCUCGAUCAUUAAAGUCAUUUAUUAAAUAAGCCUAAAAAAUAGAGAUCAUGCUCAUGGCGUAUAGCUCAUUUUCACACCCCUACAGGUAACCAUACAAAUCGUGGGUGGAAGCUAAGCAAGCUUGUAACACCCCCAAACCGUUUUAGACAUUGGUCAAUCAACCGGGCAACAAUCAAACAAGAACAUACCCGAACGAUCUUCCUCUGCCAAGUCCGGAAGUGUUACAACGGGUUGAGAAUAGACGUUCCAAGUCACAAAACAUAAUUCUGUAACCCAGAGUAUCCAUUCUAAACUUGUGUCCUCUAAUCUUUGGCCUGAGGCUUUGCAACCCGUACCGAAUCAUAGAGUUGUGUUAGGUUGGACUAACCUAAUAUCAGAUUCAACACGUCGCGAAUAUAAAACAUACUUUAUUUCAUAUAUAUAAAACAUGAAGUUCACAAGCCCAAAAUAUUAUACAUAUGGUCCAUGGACGCAACCGAAAGUAAAACAUACAUUCAUAUAUCUUGAAAACGAGUCUUUAGCAAAAGAUGUCCAAUUUACACCAGCUCCUACAGUUCCGCGAGCGCUAUGGUCCUUUCUACUGGUCACCUGCAAAAGGAUGUGAGGAAUGAGUGAACUAGUUUCACUCAGUGAGCCAGGGUUCCCUAUCUAACAUAUACAACUACCCGUCAUUCUAAAUCCCACCCCAAACACAAGCAAGACGAGUAGUUCAACAAACAUAUUCGAAGCUUAAAUGAUUAAGCAGUAAACAAUUAAACCAUAAUAAAUUAAAACACUCUUUAUGAGUGUCACAUCAAUCAACCAUAUAUAUAUAUAUACUCCUAGGGCCCAACAGAAUCAUUCUUCCUCCACAUAAGGGACACCGGCAAUCCCUUCACUAUUACACCACACAGGCGUAGGCGCUCGGGAAUCGCCCGGUCACGGUCCUCAAUCGGAAUCACCGUGCCCCAGUCCCCUAUUGGACUCGCCGGGGGCUGUCACAUCCACGUGUGACACUCGAUCCACAAACUGACACCUAGACCAGUCCGGCUAUCCUAGCUCGGAAGCCGUCUCCGAUGUCAGGAACCUGCAUUAAAAAUUCAUUAACAAUCAAUUAACUGUGACUCACAGUGAUUAGCCGAUGUGGUUUGACUUUCUGAUUCCGGAUGUUGACCAAACCUUUUUUAUUCCCUCCAAAUCUUUGUCUUGGUACCGUGAUGUUAAUCCCCAAAACCCAACCUCAAUGUCUUGAAUGAACUGGUCUGGACAGAUCAGAACUUGGAAAGAACCUUCUUUCUCUUCUGGACAGUCUUUCGGAACUUCCCGGCAGUUUAUCGGUCUUCGAAAAUGUCUCUCUCUAGCCAUGCUAGAAGACACCUCCACGUCCACUUGCCCUUCAGUAUGUCUGGUGUUCAUGCAUCGCGACACACGGGCCUCUGCAUGUCGGUUCGCAUGCGCAGAUCGCAGGUACUGCGACACCACGUGCUUCUAUGUGUCAAGCUGCAUGGAUCUGCUUCAUGCACGCCUACACCUCCUUCUUGUGUGGACACUCAGCAGAUUAAAUGGUUGACACCACGUCCUGAUCCCUUAGAUCAAGCCACCUCGAGCUUCUCGAUCGAUUUGCGCGAUUUCGGUCCUUCUGGUGAAUUUUCGUCCCGCGAUCAAUCCCGAAUAUUUUUCCGCUCCUGUUCUGAUGAGCUAAAUAUUUUUAAUAGACUCCAGACUAACCUUAACUUUUGAGGAUAAAAAUUUCUCAAGUCUUCGGCUUCCCCGAGAAAUUCCAUAAAACCGAAAUCAGGUUUUUUUUUUUAAGACGGGUUAUUACAAAGCUCAUGAGGUAUAACUCAUGAGGUAUAGUUUAAAAUUAAACUACAUACAUAUAAAAAUACAUAAAUAUGUUAAUUUCUAAAUUUGUAUUGAAAAAUAUUGAAACCUUAAUAUUUUAAUUUUGAAAUUUCCUUAAUAUUUUAAUUUUAAAAUUUGCAUUCAAAAAAAUCGCAUUAAAAAAUCAUUAGGCCUGAAUUCUACAAUGGAGCUUUUACAUGAAAUUUUGAAUUUCAUUUUUUUUUUGAGUCUAGGUUAGCCGAAAGAUGGUUAUCGGUUCAAGAACGCAUGGUGUCCCGUAUCAAUUGGUUGAAAGGUCUGAAAGAAAAUGUUGAAUUCUAAAUAAUAAAAAUUUAUAUUAAAAUAUAUACUAUAUAUAUAUGUCUAUGUCAUUGAACUUUAGUUAUAUAUCUUAUUGAAUAAAUAAAAGGACAUGUCAUUGAACUUUAGUUAUAUAUCUUAUUAAAUAAAUAAAAGGAUAAUUUUGAUUUAUUUACCAAAACAGUAUCGUAAAUAAAUAAGAAGUAUUUUUUUCAUUUAUGUGUUUAUUCUAAUUUAAUUAGAUAUAUAAUAUAUAAAUGAACACAAAUAAAUAAUAAUAUACAAAAAUUAUUUUUAUAUAUGAUGUUCAUCUCGCGCAAUUGCGUGGAUCUUAAUCUAGUAGAAUAUGAAAGUGUCUAAACACAAAUACAAUAUGCAUAAUUUGUAUUUGUUGGGCUGCAAAUAAGCAUGUGUUAUUCAUAUAAAACUAAAAUAGAAAUGAGGAUGUAUUAAAUAAAAUGGUUAUUCAAGUUUUUUAAGUCUUUGAUGUAGAUUCUCGAGAUAACUUAUGGCUUGCCGCACCUACGCGAACAUUCUUCUUGGCUCAUGUAACACAUGUUUUGAGCCUUAACUUUGGAGGAACAACAAGAACAAGUGUGAUUUUCUUUGAGUUCGUGGCAUGGGGUUUGCGUGCAAGUUGGUUUAGCUGCUGCACCCUGACCAUCGACAACUAUAUAAACAGAAAGUAACAACAAUAUCAUUUGGAGGAAAAAAAUAAUUGUCAAAAAUAUUAUAAUGUGAUUACAAUAGUGAAAAAGAUAGUUGAUGAACAAAAGAAAACUAUUAUAAACACAUACAUUCAUGAAGAGGGAAUAAAGCAAUCAUUAUGAUGCAAAAGAUAGUGAACUGUGAUGAUGACAUAUUGUUCUUUGUAAUAUUCUUACGAUGAAAACACCUUUUUUUUUUUUUUGAAUCUUUACGUUUACUGGUUUGAUGGUUGGAAAUUAUGUUUAAGGUGAAGAUCAAUUUAUAGAGUUUUAGCUUAUAGAUAAAAGUAUGUAAACUAGUAAUGCAUGUCUUGUAUGGCGAUCCAUAAAAAUUGGUUAGAUUUGUUUGACUUGUUUUUUUUUCUAAUUAUCGUGUGGUAAUUAUAUUGGUGUUUAGCUAUUUUUAUUUAUUAAAUAGAGAGAAGAUAGGUACAACUUUCUGUUUAACUUCUGUUUUCUUAUGAAAUUGGUUUGCUGGUUUCAACAAGUCAAGACUGGGAUGCGUAUGUGUAGUACAAGGUGUAGCGUAAUG